UUUGAUGGGGUUAUGGGUUUUGUCGUCAAUGUAAUCGUGCCGUUGGAUUAGGGUUGGAGGUUAGGUUAGGUUAGCAGGGAGAUGGGUGGAUGCAGGGGCGCAGUCUUAUCCUGAUGCUGCCAACGACUGCCACUGGUUUCCAUCGCUUUCUUUCAAGAGCUUUAUUGAGGUGGAGGAGCACGGCACAGAGACUGGAAAAGGUCCGGGUGGGCACUAGACUAGGCCGAUGAGAAGGAAGUCUUUGGCACUUUUCGCCAUUUUCCAUGUCCACGUGAGGCUGGAGAAUGAGACUCAGUAGAAGAUUUGGCUCCUUCUUAUCGAUCAGGUUGUAACAUGGGUUACAGAAAAAAAAAAUUAUAUCUUACACCAUGUGCAUCACAAUUGCUCGUGCACCAUUAAAAUAGUCAGAGCUUCGCCCUUACGGGCUUCAUGCGGUUCGUCUCAAUCUAAUUAUCUCAAUUUAGGCCACUAGCAAAUGCAUGCAACUAGGCAUGCAAAAUCAUUUAAAUUUAUAAGGUAUGUUUAUUUUUUAAAAUUUGAAUAAUUUUUUGAAAAUUAUACUUCAAAGCCUUCACUGGUUUUUUAUAACAGCCUAAUUUUAAGAGACGUCAAAUAUAAUAGAAUAUUAUUAAUUAAUUUUAGAUAUAUAAUGUGUGUUCUUCGAUAUUAUUCAUAUAUAAAUACAAACAUAUCACUGAAACUAUAUAAAGGCCUCAAAAUUUCUAUCUGCGAAAUUUUGAAUUCCUAGACACGUUGAUUCUCAUAAUAACCCUCCAUCUAAACUGCCAAUUUCAGAUUUUUUGGCUGGACAUUCCACUGAACAGGGCGAGGCCACAACCUUCAAAUCCCCAUCGUACUACCCAUAUUAUAUGAUAUUUAAUUUUGAAACAAUUGAAAAAUCAAAACUUUCUUAAUUUUUGAUUGGAAAAGCUGAAUCGUUAAAGCUUACAUUUAAACUCGUUCAUUAAGAUUGAAAAAGUUCAAGCUACAUGAUAUUUAAUUUUAAAAUAAUUUAAUCUUUCUUAGUCCCAAAAUGGAACCAAAUGCAUAGGGAUACACCACUCAAGGUCAGAACCAAAAUGUUUAAUGGAUAAGCAAAGGGAAGCGACAAUUGGGAUAAGCCCCAAUUCACAUGGCUGCUGCAAAUCAAAUAUGAAAAAGAAAAAUCACUGGACUUCCUGGGCUAAAUAUCUGUCUCGAUGUCAAACUUCACUACAUAUGAGGUCUAUUUGCUAAAAGCAUUCACCAGUCCAUGACAAAGCCAAAACACACCAAAGCCUCAACCACUGCAGAAAUAAUCAAGAUAACAGAAACAAGCUAAUCAUGUAGUUUGCUGGAUUCAUUGAUCCACAUGCUGAUUCAAGGGUAACCUAGUUGCCUUCUAGUAAAUUUCUAAUCACGAUGAUGUGUAUUGGUUCUUCAAAACAAAUAAGAUACAAAAGCUAGAACCACGAAGUAUUGAAAUGGCCUUGUCCUCUCCACAUGAAUACAGUAGAGAGCAUCUUUUGGGGAUUCCAACCUUUUGCCAUUUUAAUAGACCAUCCUACUAAAGCUUUGGAGAUCAGAAUACUACUUGUGUAACUUCAGAGCUCAGCAUGUACAAAGCGUCUAAUCUAAUUUCCCCAUCCUAUCCAAUACGUACAACUGAUUCCAUGAAGCUAUUGCCUUUGCUGUUGGGCAUGUCUCAGUAUGACCAAGAUUAACAUGGGAACAAUAUGUUGUUGCAAUCUCUAGUUGUGCCUUAACCAUUGAAGCAAAUGGUUCACAAGAAGGGACUCUCUGAGGUCAAGAAAGGAGAUCAAAAGAGCCUGAUUUAAAUGAGGAGGAUUUGAAGAAAGAGGCUGCCACAGGAUGUAAGCUUUCAACUUGGAAGGAGGGACAAAUAAAAUUCUGAACCAAUUCGACAGAGCAGGGACAAGGAUCUCCGGUUCUCGUUUUGACCUACAUAGGGUUGAAAAAAGACCUAUAGCCUUGACCACAGGUUCACUCCAUUUUGAAGAAGUCGCUUAAAUGGUUCAACCUAUUCUAGACAUGGCCACUGCCUUCAUCAUGUUGGAUUUGGCAGCAUCAAGCAAUGGGUCUGACUGUAAAGCCUUCUCGAAAGAAGCUUUAGCUUCCUCCCACCUGCCCUCUGCCACAAAAACAAGCCCAAGGUUGUUGUGUGCUGGUGCAUAUCCUGGGCACAGUUCUAGAGACUUUGCAAAUAUUGCCUUUGCAUGUUCAAACCUCUUCUGCUGACGGUACAGGUUUCCAAGGUUAGAAAGGAUGGCAUGGGCCUGUUGGGUUGUAGCAUGGGAGAGUGCCCGCUUGUAUACUACCUCAGCCGAAGAUGGAUCAUCAGAUAAUUGCAAUGCAAUACCUAUAACAUGAAAAAUUGUAGCUUUUGUCAGGAAAAGUACAGGAAUCUUCGAGGUGCAGCUAAACAAAUUUCAUUCAGAAAAUAACAGGAAUUUUCCACCUGACACAUGAAGUAUAUAUUAUCACAUUUGUCAUAAUCUUUUUUUUUGUCAAAAAUAUCCUAAUAUGGAAUCUGGAAGAAGUAAACAAAAUUAUAUAUGAUACCUAUUAUAAAAAUAAACUAGAAAAGACAAUGUUUUAACUAAAUUUGCCCACUAACUAGGAAAAGAUUGAUAAGUGAAUAGACAUUCACAUGGUCAUAUAUCAGAGAUUGUUAGUCAUGGUUCAAAUUACCGGUCGAACAAGGAAGCUACGAAUGCUACCGCUUUCUGAUGGGAUUCCGGCACUGAGACAGGGCUUGGAUCACCGAAACCAGUCCCAGAUGGGGCAUCCCAGCCGAACUAGAUUGAUACCAAUACAAGUAUUAUUGGUAUGAGGCAAUCCCGGUUGGGAUGCCUCUUGCUUCCUUUUUCAAAGGACAUGGGGGUGGCUGGGUUCAGAGAUGCCUUUAAGCAUCUUGUGAGGCGCUUCUGACCCUAUAAUGUGAGAAAGAGAGCCAGAGAGAAGGAUAAGAGGAGAGAAAGGGAUGGAACAGUGCUACUUUCUAGUUCCUACUAUCCUGACUCCUGAGCAGGUUCAGAUGUACACACAUCCACAGCAUCACGAACCACAACCGAGUCAUCAUCUGACAUCUUAUGACAAGCAGGGGUAAGGACAAUAUCCAAGCUGGUAUAAUGUUUAAGUCCCAACUACCAGCAAGAUCUGCAUGUAUAUAAGAGGCAUCAACAUCAUGCAUGGGAUUAUACUAUUAAAGUGGGUUACUUUGAUUUUUCUGUUUCAAUACUAUAUUUUAUUUGCUAUUCUUCACUCAUAAAUGUUAUUAGUCGAUUGAUGAUUGAGUGUUAGUAUCAAAUUCCGCCGUACUGAUCGUACUGAUGUACCGGUGGGCGCCGGUACCGGUACCGUACCGGUUUGGCUGGUUCGGGCCAAAAGCCAAAAAAAAAUUUAGAGCCGGUACGGGCCGGUACCAAUCGAUACGGAUUUGGUACGGGUCGGUACGUACCAGUACCGACCGGUACGGAUUGUGAAUGGUUGGAACAAAAAAAAUAUAGCUGUACCAUAACAGUUUUAUUCGGUACCAAAAUGUACCGGCCCGUACCGACCGGUACGACAGACUCAGUAUCAAUAUCAACAUUCAACUAUCGCAUAUCCUUAAAAACAUCCUCUAAAUAUUAAGGAAUACAAAACAAGCUGGCCUAAACAUCAUCAUGUAUAAAAAUAUAAAAAAAUAAUGAAAAGAAAAAAAUAAAAAAAUGAUUCCUGGCUGUCCCAGCAUGGUUAGAGUACAAAGCCCCACAUCGUAUCAGCACAGGACAGCCUGGUGCCAUACUGGUCUGGCCGAAAACCGAUACCGGGCUUUAAAUCUUGAUGCCAACAAUAUUUCAGAUCAAAUUUUAGUAAUUAAUUGUAGUUUAUUUUAUUUUUAAUCAGAUCUCAUUGAUUGCUCUUAAAACCACUUAUCUUACUUGUGACAACAAUGAGCUCAAAUAUCAAAAGCCAAACCUCAAUUUAGAAUUUUAUGUACCAGAUUAAGAUGUUAGCCUAAAAACUAUUUAUAUUGUGCAUAUGCAAUAGAUUUAUAGAAAAUUAUGCAACAUGGGGUUUGGAAACAAGUUUAGGCAUAAAAUAUUAUGCAACAUGGGCGUGAAACAAGUUUAGUCACUUGUAUGGCAUUUAUAAAAUUAUUCUUGUGCAUUUCCUGACUGUACGAACAAGAUUGAUGCAAUCAACAAACUCAUUUAAGAAAUGAAACUAGUUAACUAGUUAUUAACCCUAUCAAUCAGUUCCAGCAUCAUAUAGAAGAUCAAGAGAAUUUAGAAUGCCUAAAAUGCCAUACAAGGAUCAUAAUAAAAAAUCAUCAAGAGAUUUAGUUGUGGAGGCCAUACCCCACCCUCAUCCUUUUAGAGGAUACAACAUAUCAUCUUACAACAUGACAUUAGGCAUCCUAAUUUUUAUGCAUCACCUUUCCCAACCAUCGACUUUUACUUCCUCGGUGUCCUUUCUCAAAAUUACCAUGUGCAUCCAGCUAAUAAACUAAUAAAAAUCAUAUUCCCACCAUGCUGUCUUUGGCUGACUCAUAGCCCAGUUAAAGAAGAAUAUUUAACUGCUAAAAAGAGAUGACAAUUACCAAGAUUGGACCAUGCAUAACUGCAUUCCCUGCAUCGGGCUACUGCAGCCUUGAGAAACUUAACUGACAUCUUGAACUGCAUGGUACAAAGGUUGUGAAGACCAAGUUGAUGCCAUUGAACUGCAUCAUCUGGAUCCUCCUCAAUUGCCUGUUGCAGAGCAAUCCUUGCGUAUAAGAGAUACAAGAAAAUAAUUGCAAAAAAAUAAACAUCCAUUACUGUGAAGAAUUUAAUGUGUCGAAGAUGGAUGUGGCGUAAGCUUACUUGAUGGAAAGUUGGAGAAAGGCUGUGAAUUGUGAUGAUUCAGAUAAUCAAUGUUACAACUUACAAGUGGAUUCAUUCUUAGGUGAACCAUCAGAAUAGAAAAAUGCCAUAUUAAAGAAAAGCAUCCCUUCAAAAUGUGAUUUAGCAGGGAAUUGGACAAAGCCCCAAUGGUCACAUUCUCCCUUCCUAGAAGGUGGUUCUGGGUUCAAAUCUUUGGUGAUACAUCCCCAAAUGUUAAACGUUGGUAAUUUAUCUUGGGCGGGUAUUCCUUCCCUUUAUCUCUCUCACAAAUUUAAGAAAAAAAAGGUGGUUCAGCAAACUUAAAUAUGCAAGUCUACGGAUUUUACUACCUGAAAAAGCAAUAGCAAAUAAAGACAUGAACAUCAUCGAAGACUACAAAAAAGACUAGACUGUCUCAUGGUUAAAGAGUUAGACAUCAAAUAACCAUGCAUCUCAAAGUGAUGCUUUAAUUUUUUAGAUGUGGAUGUUCUUCCUUCAGAUGAGAUGGUCACAAGAACAGUCAGCUCAUUCACCACCAUGUUUGCUUGCUAUUAAACAACAGAACACAAUACAGAGGACCCAAUGGCAAGGGGUCCUAGUACAUAUAAAUUCUGCUUAACAGCUUCAAAUUUCAACAAGAAAGACCACAGAAUUAUUCUUGGAUAAUUCACUGUAUAACUUAUAUUCCACUUCUUCUGUUUCAUUUUCAAAUGAAAGUGCUUUUCAGUAUAAUGUUGAAGGAAAAAACAAUUGACUUGUGAGAAAACACAUUCAAUAUAAUUCAUAUUUCGAACCAUUCAAACAAGACCUAUCUAAUUGUUUGUCUAUAUGACAAACAUUGAACACUUCCAAAUACAAAAAAAAAAGCCUGAGUUUUUUGGGUAGAAAAAAGUCUUAAGUCAGAACCACCAUUACUUAUCUAAAUGAAAGCACAAGAAAAGGUAAAAGGGCUUCCCUAUCUUCUACAGCAUCACCUCCUCUGCCAAGCACAAGAGGAACCUUACUGUCAAGUUUGCUCUUACAACUUUUGCACAAAUAUUUACCAAUGCAGAUCUAUCAUCCUCAGUCAUCAGAAAUUGACUUUCACCUACAUCUCCUGGCUCUCAACCAAGUAACUCCAGAACCCUCUAUCUUCCAAAUCUUGCUAUCUCAUAUCCCGCUGCAGAGAACACUACGGACCAUUAAGCCAAUCUACCACAGUAUCCCCACGUCUGAUCAACUUUGCAAGCUUCAUUGCAUUUCAAAAACAAUCCAACAAGAAAUGGCCACAGAAGCUAAAUAUUGCAUGCAACCAUAUGGGUUUAGUUAGUGCAGCGGUUUCAGUCUCAUAUGCUUUUCAUCUGGAUCUCGUAGAUAAAUGUAAGUAUGAUUUGUUAAGGGCUCAGGUUGAGUCAGGCAUACAAGGAUCUUCUAGGGACUAAAAAAGUCCUAAGGCAAGGGAGGUGGAGCUCAUAGAAACCCGAGGGUUUGGUAGAAAGGUGCCGAGAGAUAAGCAUGAAGUUAGAUCCAGGUGUCCAUGCUUGGCUGCCAUCCCCAUUGGCAGUUGUAAGAGGUGUCUGUAGUUCUAGAAGUUUUAGAGCACUUUCAAGUUUAAAAUAUUUGGAAAAUCAUAAGGCAAAAGCAUCCUUCCAAGGUUUUAAAAAAAAGGUUUUGGAGAGCAUAUAGGUUUUUUGAAAAACCAAUGAGCAGCAUUUGCCGAACGGAUCCCAUACUGAACUGAACUAACAUGAAAUCGGGAUGGUCCAGCGUGUCCCAAACAGAACCAACACAAAAUUGAGAUGAUUCAUCCUUCUGGGUCAGUUCGGCUCAUAAGAACCUUCGACCCUUCAGCUGAAAGCUUUGAAUGCUCUUAAUCUCUCCCCCUCUUCAGUGCCAAUUGACUCCAUUGCCCUCGAACGAUGCCCAAGAUGAUGCAGACAUGAUCGAUCAAUGUCGAAGACGGGACCUUCACCCUCAAUCGACGUUGAAGACAAUACCGUUAUCCUUGAUCGAUGCCAUGGGGGUCCCUCGCCAACAUCUUCGACCCCGAUCGAUACCUUGAGGUAAGCCCCUCCCUCUCCCCCCUCCUUGCUCUCUCUCUUCCUCCCUCUCCUUCUCCCCCUCUCUCUCCCUUCCCUCUCUCUUCCUCCCUCCCCCCUUCCAUAAACCCCUCUCUCCAUCAUCUCUCUCUUCCCUCUCCCCUCCCUCCCUUUAGUUCAGUAUGCCUCAAAUUAGUACGAUACAUACUAGUACCAUACCAAAUCAAUCACCAACUAGUACGACCUCCGAUACCGGUCCAACAAACUUGCCAAUAUGAUAACAAGUACCGACACAUGAUAGGGGUCCCAUACUAGCACGCUAUGUAUCAGUGCCAAUUUACAGCUGGAAAAGUGCAAUACCGCUCAUACCAUCCCAUUCCAGCGAUUUUUAAACCUUGCAUCCAACUCAUUGGUGUUUCCCUCUUUUUUGAGAUGGAUGGAAAAGAAAACAACUCUACAAUUGAUUGAGUAACUGUGCAAGUGUGCCACCAAUUUUCAUCAGAUCAAAAGAAAGAAGUAGAUGGGUUCAAUUGCUUUGAACUUCAAGGACUUCUAACUAUCAGAAUGCCACCUAUGCGCCAGCCGCUUGGUUGAGUAAUUUCCCCAUUUCGCCAUGCAUCUUGGUUCGUUAUUGUCAUUACCUCCAUUUCCUUUCCUAUUUCGCCAUGUGUCCUGGUUGGUUACCACCGUUACCUUCAUUUUUUUAUUCAUUAUUUACUAACAGUAACUUCAAAUUUUUAAUUUUCUCCUUAUCUUCGACUUCAUACUGCCUGGCAACUACCUUGGGACCAAUUUUUCCAUUAAUGUUGUCUAUGUAUGCAUAUUCAGCCUGUAGCAUGUGUGUGUCUCCAAUAUACACCUUAACUUCUUAUAUGUUAUCAGAUUGACCUAUACUAUCGGCCAACUUCUAAUUGACCCAGAUUGACACCCGUGGUAGUGGUUGAUGCUCCCUUUGCUCCACCUGUCUUUAAUGAUAUAGCCCAUCCUUGACAAAGGUGCAUUGGUAUUCAAUGCUUUUCCUGGAUGAAAUCAAUCAGCCUGCAUUCAAUAACGCCAUGUGACAACUACACAACUAUUUGGGAAUGGUCUGUGAUGUGCCGCAUGUCAUUUCUACAAUACAUCUAUGGAUUCUAGUCUUCUGUCAAUAUGUGAUGCAAACAAUUGGGAUAGUUUUGUGUGGAAUCCAGGUCAUGUACAUAAGUCCAGCUUUUUAUCUUUAACAAUCAGCAAAGAAUUAGCUAAUUCACUCUUCACACUUGCAAGUUUAGCCUUUAUGCUACUCCCAGGAGCAUGCUUUCCAAGGCUGAUUCAAAGGAUACCAUCUUUUCUUUCUUUGCUCAUAUACUAUAUUUGGAAGACUUUCUACAUUAACCCUGUUCUCUCUCUCCUCAUAGAAGAUACUCUUACAAAAUUCAGAGGGCACCUACAUAAAAGUGAGCCAAAAUAGCUGUCUUCUCCAUCUUAUUUUGCCUUAGGAGUAGCAAAUUUGCAUAUCUGGUCAGAAUGAGACCAUUAGGUUUUUAGUGGAAAAUUAAGUCGCAUAACAAGGAGAUUGAAGAGAUCUAAUUUGCGGGACUCUUCUGUUAAUGUGGCUACUAGAUUAGAUACUCUCCCUUCGAAAAAGGCCUAACUAUGAUUUGUUCAAAACUAACUCUGAUAAGUUUCAAUCGGGCCUUCACUCUUAUUAUGGAGCAGUUAUAAGAAGAGGAAUUUUAUGACAAGCCUGCAUUCAUCUAUUCUAGGAUGAAAAACAAGUUUGAACACUUUGCAUAACUCCUGACAUGGCCAAAUGCUUUUUCAUUUUUCCACUCUAGGAUCUUAGUCUAAUAUAAGAAAUGUAGUAAAAGAGAAAACAUUUUCGACAUUUUUCCUAUAAGUAUUUUUUUCAUGACUUCCGAUGUGGUUGGGGGUGGAAAUGAGCCAAACAUGAGCAAACUGAGCUUAGCUUGAAAUUAAAAUGACUCAGCUCAAAUCGAGUUGAAUUGAGAAACCCUAGCUCGUGCUUGGCUCAUGUAUAAUCAAGUCAGCUCGAGCUCGGCUUAGCUUGAAAUGUAAUCCUCCUUUUAGUGGACGAAAACCUUGAUGGGAGGAGAUUGUCGAUCCAUGGAGAAUGGGAGGGAGGGGGGGUGUUGCUAUGUAGAAGAGAGCUUGGGGGAGCCUUUACCUUGAGGGAAUAAAAGAGUGCCUGCUGUCUCAUCAUCAUCAACCUCCCUUCCUAUCAGCACUUGUAAGCAAAACGAGGAGAGGAAGAGGGAGGAUGGAAGAUAGGAGAAACAGGAGAGAAUGGAUGCCAUUGUUGAUCAAGAGAAGCCUAUGGGUGGCUAGUGGCAGCGAGAGAUGCUAUGAAGAGAUCGAGAGGAGAGGUUGGUGGUGGCAUGUAAGUGAAUGCCAUGGAAAGGCCAUUGGUGGGUGCCUGAGUGGAUGCCACAAUGGGAACCAAGAGAAAGGGAAAGUGGAUCAUGGUGGUACAAUGGGAGAGGUGUUUAGGGUCUUAGGGCUUCAUAAUCAUCGCUAUUUACUCCACCCACUAGAGCUAUUGAAUUUUAAUCAAUGGUUGAACAAUUUAAUAAGUCAGCCACCGGAUUAAAAUCCAAAAGCUGAUUAUUUAUUACUUAUAAAUCCAUAAAUACAAUAUCUACUUACUAUAUAUAAUAUAUAAAAUACAUAAUAUAUAAUAUAUAAUGUACAAUGGAUAGUGUACAAUGUAUAGUGUAUAACGUAUGACGUAUAACGUAUAAUAUAUAAUAUAUAGCAUAUAAUAUAUAAUAUAUAGCAUAUAAUAUAUAAUAUAUAAAUUAAUAUAAUAUAAUAUAAUGAGUUGGCUCGCAAGUCAAAAAUAAGUGAGCUGAACCUAACUCACGCUCGGCUCACUUGACAUUGAGUAAUCAAGUGAGCCGAGCUCAAGCUGAAUUCCAAGCCGAAUGCGAGCUGGCUUGUGAACAGCUCGUUAGUUUGCCAGCCUUACAUGUGAUUAAAUAGUUAGAUAUAAAUAAUAAUUGCUCCUAGUCAAUUUUGCUGCCCCUAGAUCAGAGAAACUGGAACAUCAAUCAUUCUACAUAUAUUAAUUGCACUCCUUGAUCUGGCCAUCAUAUGUGGUACAAGAAAACACCCUCAACUUUGCUACUACAAGGCAUCAUUUGAUUUAACCAUUUCCAAUUAUAUCCUUCCUACUUGUAACAUGCAUCCACUUUGAUAUCUUUUUUUUUUAAAUUAUAUUUACAUGCUUCACAAAUAUUUUACAGCCUAAAUCCUGAAUUAACCAAUAGAUUUUGUCCAAUAGUUGAUUCAUUAUUUCCCUUUGAAGCCUCACUGGUAUUAGACGAUCACAAACACUCCAAAGUCAGAGCACCACUUCAUCAAAUGUCCUUAUGAUACAUCCUUAUCUACAACUCAACUAUGUAUAGUGAAAAUGACAUGGCAUAUUUACAAGACACAUACUUAGGUAUAAGAAGUUCAUGCCAAACAAAUGGACGCCAAGUAAAAGCGGAUAAUGUCUUUCUACUGCAUAACCAACACAAAGAUGUCGAAGAGAAAUGCCCAUUAGAUAUUUCCUAGAAUGUACUAGAUUUUAUGUUAUCACUAUGUGCUGGAUGAAAAAUAAGAAAGUUGAUUAACUUAUGGUACUAUUACAAGAACAUGUUUGUUAUGAAAGCAAGAAUUAUGAUAAAUAAAAUAAAUGAUAAUAGCCAUCCCAUCUUAGAAAAAUCUUUUAGAUUGCAAAGUAAGAGGUGAUCUUCAAUUCAGAAAAUGUAGUAUCUAGUUCAACCAGAAAGAUUGCCAACAAAUGAAAAAGGAAGUUAGUUUGGUUGAGCAUUCGAAUUGAUACAGGAAGCAUCACCUGCUUUAAUGUAUACAGAGCUCGCUCUUCUGCCUCCACCAAAUCCCUCUGCUCAGUUUCAAAAGCUGCUGCAAUUUCAUGUUGAGCUCUGUGCACCAUCGCCAACCCUGCCCAUGCUAUUGGAAGAUCAAUUACUGCAGGGUCCCCUUCUUUUAGAAUCGAUGCCAUUUCAUUUGCAGCCCAGGAAAGCUGCUCUGUAGAAUCUUGUGACCUUUCAGCAUCUUUAAUUCGAUGAACUGCUAUAGCAUAUCGAGCAGACAUUUGAUUAGGCUCCAAUUUUGCUGCCUGCACAGAGACAAGCAUACGGCAAGAGUAAUUUAGUAUAAGAAAACAUGGUGACCCUCAAUCUGCACUCCAUUGGUACCUUCCUUUAUCUGAACACCUUCUAUUAAGUUAUUUGCGCAGAUUAAUGUGCAAAAAUAAUUUUAAAAAGUCUGUAGUUAGCCAUGUUGCUCCCUUACUAACAACUCACAGUUAGGUUCUUCCAUCAAUAUAGAUAGAAGUGGAGCAAUUUGGCCAGAGAAAAAGGGAAAGGUUUCCUUGUAAAAUUUACACCUCAUAACAAAAUAUCAUUUCCUUUCUGUUGGCAUAUCAACCAGAAAUUUGAGUUCUCCACUUCUUAAUAGAUGGACUCAGAGCUCCUAAACUCCCAAGCUACAUUAAGAAUAGCCUGAAAACUUUAAGAAGAAAUGAGCCAAGGACAUGUUGCUACCUGCUCCAAGCACUUCUUUGCAUUCCUAUGAUCACCAGCCACAUAAUAUGCAUUAGCAAGAUUCACCCAUAAUGCCCCAGCUUUAGGUUCAGCUUUUACUGCUGCUGUUAAGCACACUUUUGCAACAGAUGCAGCUUCAACUUGAUGUGGAUAAGCCCCUUCACCUGCAUUUGCCCCUGGACCUGUACAUUCAACAAGACAACUAAAUGAUAAACUACUCAAUGGACAAUCCUCACAACCAUUGUUAUAUAAGAGAGAGGGAUUAGCUAUCUAUUGAAAGACAUCAAGAAUCAGUAAGUAUCUUCAACACAUAUUGAGCAUCAUUGCCGUUCUCUGUGAUCAUUCUACUUAGGUAGCUGACCUAAAGAGAAGCCAAACACCUAUCACAGACAUCUUAUGGAAUGUCAAAGAGUACCAUGACUAGUUUAAACUUAUGAAAAAUCAUUUACAUGAUAAAACCCAAUCAACUGUAGCUUUGCUGCUAGAUUUACUAUAAUAAGCUAAUGCGAGCAUCCUAGAAAAAGGAAUCACUAUAAUUUGGUGCCAAGUCUCCUUAAAUGGCACUCUUGUUCUUUCUUUCAGCACCACAGUAACAAGAUUCGCCAAUUUUCCCAAAAAAACAUGAAUUAUUCAUGACUUGAAAGUUAGGUGAAUAGUUCGAUGACUAAUUUGCUGGUUGGCUAACAGAUCACGAAUGUUUCACAAAAUUUGUUGAUUUCAUGAAGAGAUUGCAAGACAGAUUAACUUCUGAAGCUUCAGUUUUAUCUUGACAUGGACAUAGAUUGCAAUUUGGCAGAUCACUUAUGGGCUGAGGCAGCAGGGUAAAUGAAUGAAAUGAGGGUUGUCUCUCAUUAGUGGACAAAUGUGAUAGGGUUCGGGGAAACGUGAGAGUUAAAUGUGUCCCACUGCCUAAUGCCUCAUGUCAGGCCCAAAAAAUAACAAUAGCAACAACAACAACAAUAAUAAUGGAGUCAGAGACUCCAAUCAAACCCACAGAGUCACACCACAUCUCCCUCCUGGACAAUUUUUCUGCCUUCCACACUCUAGAUCUUCAAAAUUUUUAGUUUUCUCUUUUGCAUAUUCCAAUAUUUUUUUUGAACUGGAAGUGGCAAGGAACAUUAAGUCUUUCCCCUGAUUACAAUCCCAGAAAGCCUUUUUCUUUCUUUUUCUGAAUCGUUCCUCUUUAUUGGGUUGAAAAUUAGCAAACUAAAAUUUCUUAUGAAAUAACAUUAGCAGCGAUGAAAAUAUGUACUCACCUUUUUUACAUAUAAGAAUUUUUAUUUGACCUUUUUAUUAUUUAUUUUUAAUUUUCUAAACUUCUUCCGAAUUCACCUGAUUUCUUUUUCCAAUUUCCAAAGUUUUCAAUCAUGCCAUAUUAUUCAUGGUUGCUGAAUUUGUGGCUAGGUUCACCACCAGUUUGAACAAUUACAACAAAAAAGUAAUUCUAUUAAAUAUCUGUCAUAUAAACCUAGUGCCCAUCCACGUGCGUGACUACCAAGGUCAUGUUCCCUCUCAUUGGAAACUUGAUCCAUAAAUAAUAUGGAGGAAGAAGGGAGGUGUUUUAAUGGUUUUAUAUGACAGUUGGUCGAUGCAUUUCUUGGGAAAUUAACAAAAGAUAACAAUUAGUAAUUUUGCCUGCAUUAUCCUAUGAUUCAAAUUCUAACAAAUAAAGAUAAUCCAAGAAUGCAAGAGGAGCAUCACAAACAUAAGAACAUAAGGUGCAUAUGUGGUGAAUCUAGGGAAGACAGGACAAGAAAUAAGUACAGGAACAAACAUCUGAACGCAAAAAGAAAAUGAUAAUACAAGCAUAAAAUUUCCAUGUUAUAUCCAUAACAGUAUAGGAUAUCGGCCUAAUAAAGUAGAACAGAUAAUUGGAAGGAACUAAAUGUAUUAGGGUCAUACCUGGGAUGAUCGAUCCAUAUUUACACAAAAGGAAAGCUGCAUAAUUGAUCAAAGCAGCAGGAUGGUUUUGAUCCUUAAGAAUAAGAUCUUGAAAGCAUUUUGCAGAAAGCUCCAAAUUUCCACUGGACAUAAUUGUUAGUUAGUACUUCAAACAAAAAGGGAAAACAACAUUAAUUAUCAACAGCAGGACAAGUCUAUCAAUUUCCCAUUCACUAUGCUAAAACAAGUCAGAAAUCUGGGAAAUGCAAAGUGUAAAAGUAAAAUGGCAGAGAUAUCAAUCCUAUUUACUUAAUUGUGGAGCCAUUGUUGUUUAAAUCCUACAACAAAGUGGCUCUCACAAUAUGGAUCUCAUCCUUGGAUUAGAAUCCGCUAGGAUCAUGAGAUCUAGAUCCAUCUUAUGGAUCAUGCAAUCCCUUAGAUCAUAAUAUCCAAAUCAAUCAUGUUAUAAACAUAUAAAAUAAUGCAAAAUCCACUUUAUGUAAUUAAUAUGGCUAUAUGCCUUUUAGAAUUAUUUCUUGAUCUCUAAUAAGCUUUAAGCACAUAAAAUUAGCAUGUUUCUGAGAGUUUUAAAUCUUAAAAGUAAAGAAAAGAAAUUUUGGAAUUCAUAAUUUAAAAGAAUUAAAGAACUAGACAUGAUGCUCCUAACACUAGAUAUGCAAUAUGUAGGCUUAUGAUGAGCAAGAACACAGUUCUUAUAUCUGGAAUUUUAUUAUUUGUUCAUCUACUUUAUGAACACAUUUUUUAUGUUUUUUAUAUCUUCUAAAAAAAAUCAAGAACAUUUUACCAAACUGGCACAGGAUCGGGUUGGUUAGAGUGAUCAGUUUGGGACUUGACAGGAACCAGCCCAAAUCAAUUUGAACCAAGCAAAAUUGCCCUGUUUCACACAGUUCGGCGUAGUUCAGACCAUUUUUUGCCAAUUUCAAACUAAUAAUUGAUGAGGGCGAGGAUAAAAGGCCUUCCUGACCACUUUGUCCUCUUCUUUUGAACUUCAAAAAGCUUGAGAGUAUGGGGGAGUGAGGAAAAGAAGGGGACGGACAGAUUUUGCAGGUCAGCAGCUCUGAUCAAGGAAGAAAACAGGCAAAAUCUUUUUCCCUCUUCUCUCCUCUCUUUUUUUUUUUCUUUUAAGCCUAAAAUAGGCCAAAAAUGGCUACAAGAAUGGGAGAUCAUGCCAAUUUUUUUUGUAUUUUGGCAUAAUUUUAUCAUAUGCUAUAAAUUUAAUUAUGCAUUGAAGAAAUCACCAUAUUCAAUCAAUCAUGUGAUCUUUUAGAUUAAAAUAUUUUUUCAGUUUAAAAAUAAAAAUUGUUCAAAAAAAAAAAACAGUAACAUGUUUGCGAGUGUGCAUGUCACUUGGUUAGCAGGAAACUGUUGAAGUUUUGGCAUGGUAAUGGCUACCUGAACCUAACCCCAAUUUUAAAAAAAUAAUCAAAAAUAAGUGAUUAUAAUGACAUACCCAUAGGCAGAAAAAUAUAUGUAGUACCAAUGAUAGGCUUCUGUAUUACUUUGAAUCGAUUUAAUUUUUCAGACAUUUUAUAAUUACAUAUUAAUAUUUUUAUUUAAAAUAAUAAAAAUAUUUAUAAAUACAAAAUAUUGCAUAGAAAAUUUAGAAAUAUUUUUUGAAGUAAGUCGGCCAUUAUUUGCAUUACAUUGUAAAUUAUCAAAGUUUUAAAAUGUUUAAUACCUUAAAAUUAUUAAUUCAUCUAAAAUAAUGAAAAAUAUGGCAAUGUGUAUUGUUAAUUGGGAGUUUUCUAGGACACGAUGCAUAGUUUUUAAAUUAUUUUAUGCAUGUAUUAAGUGAAAUUAAAUUAUAAAGUCGCUAAUAUAUCUAACAAUAUGGCAAUGUCAUGAUCACAGCUAGCCGAAUCCCAGUAGAAGGAGCAACCAUAGAAGUCAAGGGAGCCAGUCAAAAUCGCAAGAGUCUACGUUUGAGAACUCCACCCAAAGAUAUAACAAGGAGAUGGUAGGGAUAGGUCACAAUGGCACCAGGCCAAGCCAAGGAGGUCAGGCCAAUCAGCGUGGCCUUCUAUAGCAAUAUGGCUAGGACCAAGAUUUACCGUCUCGGUACUGGAUCCCAUACUAGUACCAUCCCAUUACGGUGUCAGUACACAAUACGGAAUGAGACCACGAGACAUACCGAGAGUUGGUAUAAUAUGAGACUGUCUAUCGGUUCGGUACUGGUGUGGUACGUCUGAUACAGUAGAGUACUGACCAAUACAACAAACCUUGGCUAGGACAUUCUGCAAGAAUGAAAGUUUCGCCACCUAGCAUAGCCAGUCAAAUAGGGGCAGCCAGGGAAAGAAAGCAGUUCAUCAAAGUAACAAAAAUAGAAAAGAAUGAAAGAUGUAGAUCCAUUAGGGAGAGUUGAUAAGGAGCAUGUUCACUUAGAUUUCAAGACCACCGAGCCCUUAAAUGACCGGUUGGCUAGAUCAUCUCACAAUACGAGCAAUGAUCUUAACGACAAUCAAAUGAUAAAGCAUCUACUGGCUAGGGAGGUAGCAGUAGACAUGGCGGGGGCGAAUCAACUUGCAACCAUAUAGUCUGAGUCCAUUCAUCAUCAAGUUUCAUUUCACUCAUCCCACAUAAGAUACGAACCAAGGUACAUGAUUUAAAACUCGCUAAGGUACAAUAGCAUAUAGGAGACGAGCCUCUUGAGGCAGUUCAAAACUGACACUACUGUAGCUAAUGAUAUAGAACCCAAAGAAGGAUCCUUGGAUGUCAGUGGAUCCUCAUUGUAUAUUGAGUCAUAUUCUGCACAGCCGGCUUAUGACCCAUAAGCAUACCCUUCGUUUGAUGGGUCAUAUUUGAGUGGCCACUACCAUCCACAGCCCCAGCUAGAAUAACGGUCAAAUUUUGGUACCACAAUCUUUUCUCAGGUGAGAUAGCAAGUUCGACAUCAUACAAAGGAUCGGUAUCAAGGUGGCUAUCCAAGAGGACCAGUUAUUGUAUAUGGAGGUGGGCAUAAUACCUUGGUUGGAGUCAAGUUCAAGACCUCAACUAUGAACGAAAUCCGGACAUCUACAAGCGGUAUAGAUACUCCAUGAGGGACUAGAUGUCGAUAUAUAUUUUGUAAUUCAAAUAUAUUUGAAUAUAUAUAUAUAUUCAAGUUAAAAAUUAUGAAUUAUCUAUGUUUAUUUACUAUGAUUGUAUCCAUCAAGCAAUCAUCCAGUCUUGAGACUAAUAUGGAAUAAAACAAUAAUAAAAUAACCUUAAAAUCAUAUUACAAGGAUCCCUACACUUUAAAAUAUCCAUAACAACUUAAAAAAAUAUAAAAAAAUGAACUAGUACCAUGCCAAUACACUUCUACAUGUUGAGCAUCAGUAUCAAACUGGUACGGUACCUAGUACCAAAUUUGUGAACCUUGAUCUAGGCAAUCAAAGUUACUCUCUUCCAACUGAUUUCCUAGUGAUCUGAGCUUGAUCAAUUCAAAUCUUGCACUUGGAGAGCUCCCAACAUCUCUCAUUUCCUCUCCCAACCUUCAUAUAUUGUAAAAAAACAAAGGUUUUUCACCUGGGACCUAGCAAUACACACCCAGAUUGGGCUCGACCUGACCUUAUUUGGUGCAACAUGGGUGGUUCAGGACUUAAUAAACCGCCAACACCAUAUGCAAGCCUAAUGUAUAACAAUUUCCAAAUGAUUAUGACCCCAAUCAUGGGGCUAUCUACAUUUCCAAUAAAAAAGAGCUCAUAUAAAUUCUCGUAUAAGUGAAAACUAAGGGACACCUCAUUUUAAAUCAAGUAAUCAUUCUUCAACUAGUCCAAUUUAUAGAAGCAGGCGGCAGUUUCAGAAUGUUGACAAAAUCAUCACACCUUUGAAGGUAUGCAAUGCCAAGGUUUGCAAGGGAAUCCAGGUAGUCUGGAACAAUGGCCAAGAGGGAUGACAAAACUGAUAUAGCACUCUGGAGAAAAUAAGAGAACAAAAUUAGCAUAAAGAAAGAAAUGUGAAGAUUGUUAGUGAAUUUUGUGAAAUAACCUGUAAAUAUUAUGAAAUUAAAGGGGAAAAAACCAAAGCAGAAAUACUUGAGCACCUGCAGACGAUUAGUUCUAAGAAGUAUCAAACCAAGCGUAUUCCAAACAGCAGCCUGUUUUGGAUCUGAUUGUACCGACUCUUUCAAUUUCACAAGAAUCUCAUCUAGUUCACCCAUUUCAAGCUCUUUAUCUGAGCUAUCCCCAGUAUGUGCUUGCAAAAUACACUGCAAUGGGAAUGAUGUUAAAGCUAAGAAUAGUCAUUAUCAAAUAUCUAUUUUCUGACUUGAUUUAAAUGUCAAAGAGAGCAAGGAUGCAAAGUAUAAUGUUUUGAGUUAUAAGCUAAUGCACCUGUCCAUGGUGUAUCAGCACCAAGGAAAGCAAAUCUGGUCUCCGAAUCUCUUCCUCAUCCCGUAGUAAUAUCUCAGAUGAUUUUUCAAAUGCUAAGACUGCCUGGAGGAUUAUCAAGAGGAUCGAAUUUGACAGAAGUUGCAGUGAAGUUAAAAAUAAAUGCCAAGAUGAAAUUCAGUAAUUACCUUCUGUGGUUGACCCAAUCGUUGAUACAUUAGGCCAAGGAUGAAAUGCACAUGAGCAUUUUUGGGCAUCUUUCGUGCGACAUGAACCAAACCCUACAAGCAUAGUUUAACUUUACAAUACAGAUAUUUAUGAUGAUGAUGAAACAGAAAAAUAGCACAAGCACACCAUAUAGAAUGUCGGGGAAAAACUAAUCUCACUAAAAAUAUGGCAGUUAUACAGACAAAUGUUUGCCACAGAAUUAGGAACCUAGGCAGUUUUAUCCAAUGUAACCUUAACUGUAAAAUAUAUCAGUUAAGUUUUAGCUAGAAAAGUCUAUAUUCAAAAAAGCAUCACACAGAUAGAUAUCAAGAUGCAUCUUUACCCAAAUGUACUAGCAUUUUUCUUUCGAGUGCAUAAAACUUCCAAGGAAUUUUUCUGAGACGAGUAAAAGGAACGACGUUGUUCCAGUUCAAAUGAUAAGAUUUGUCUUCAUCCCUCACCGCCAACUUUUUGUAAAGUUCUCAAAUAUUUUUAAAGCAUCAUACCUGAUAAUAUUUUCUGCUAAUCAGUGAAACUGUUUUAAGAAGAAGUCUAUGUAGCUGCAUAUGCAUAUAUGGCCUCCUGACCACCUCAAAUAGGGUCUAGGCUGCCUUUGCAUGUAAACAGGUCCAACAGAGAGCAUCAAGUAGCCAGCAUAAGCCCAAGCCACAGAUAUGCAUCCUCCCUCCACCCUGUGUAUAGUUGUUCUUAUUUGACUGAAUUUUAAAUCAAGCUAUCGACAAAUUUCCUAUUUUUACCUAUAAGCACGAGUUGAUUAUUUUUAAUAUUUUUAAAUAUGAACUGCAUAGGCAGCCACAUACUGCUUAGACACUAUGGCGUACCUUGAGUGCUCACAUACAAUUGCUGCCUUUUUGAAACCUUGGUGACUCGCUGUACUUUUGUACCUAAUUUCAUCUAUUGAUUUAAGUAUAAUUUAUCUACAUCAGGACCAGUAAUAUAAUCUAUAGAAACUUGCAAAAAAAAAAACAAAAAAAAACAAAGAGAGUUCUAUAAAUUGCGUAAGAGACAUACUCUCUAAUUAAGUAUUCAUAUAUACAUAACACUAAAUAAUAUUUCUUAUUACCAAAAAAGGAACAAUUAUAACUUAAAUCUGAGCACAACAGAAAUCAGCUCAAGUUUUAGAAGUGUUUAGAUUUCCUUGUUUAUCUAUUUUUAACAACUUUAAAAACCUUUUCAGUCUAAGAUUGGACCGAAAUGUUUCAAUAUAUAUUUAGCAGUUUUCUUUCCACUUUAAUGAUUUCACUCCUAAAUAAUUUUUAAAAAUUUUAUAAGAUGCCCAUGAUACCAAAAAUCAGAAAAAUAAUAAAAGGAAAUACUAGCAUAGUGCAAGUUAAUUAAACCUAUUAAUCACUGGCUUAUAGUAUACUAUCCUUUGGACAUAUGGUUUCUGUCCAUUCAGUCUUUAGCUAUUCAGAAAUACAAGUCUGCUAAAACUUUAAAGUAUCAAGAAUUAUGCAAAUAGAGAGAGAAAAAUCUAGAAAAUUAAGUUAAAGAAAAAGAACUAUUAGGUUGUCUAGUAAUGUCAACUCUUAUUGUCAUUAAAUAAUGAUGAAAUAAGGUACAAUAGUACCUAAACGAAUGAAUAUAACAUCUAAAUCAUUAUUAGUAGAUCCAGCUUGCUUAUAACCCAAAGACACAUACAAAUUGAAUAAAGUCUAAGAUCUUCAUCGAACAACCACUAACAAAAAGAAAUCGUUGAAAAAAAAAACCUUUUACAAAUGGUUUCAAAACCAUUGUAAAACUAGCAAAAGUUGACUUUUAUCAAUGAAAAUAACCCCUGAGCCCAUGAUCAAAUCACUCAUCUUAACUCAAGAUAUUUAAGAAGAUCCAAAAUAUGGAAAAUAGGCNNNNNNNNNNNNNNNNNNNNNNNNNNNNNNNNNNNNNNNNNNNNNNNNNAAGCAUCUGACAAACUUAAGCAAAACCCUCAAACUCUAGUCACCAUCCUGGUUGGGGAUUAGGACAGUCAUUAGUCAUUCAUUGAAGCUUUGCAUCUAUAGGUACAUCUUUUUGUAGAACUAAAUGUUUAGCUUUAAAGAAAGAUGACAUCAAUGACAGAGACGAUGUGUAUGGUUGCAUAGGAGGGCAAAAGGUGCUUUGAGAGACCUGUAUGGCUUUGUCUGACUGGCUGCAUUGGUGCUCCCUGAAGUUCAUGACCCUCAUCCAUGGUCAUCCAUCAUUGCAAGUUACAACUUUUAUUGGCUCAUUUAGCAGACUAGACCUCGGUCACUUCUCCAUUACCCUAAUUAUUUGUUGCAUGCUCACAGGGUGCGAUGCCAAGUUCAACUUACUCAUGGUUCAUGAGGGUUUGCAUCAGCAAAACACUUGUCCACUCAAAUUUCAUAUUAAAAAAUUACAUUCAUGAUAAUUCAGAUCAUUUGAGCUCAGUACCAAAAUUCUUAAAAAAUCAUACAGCUUCCUAAAGAUGAGAAACUCACAGCUUUUAGAUUGCUGACUUUUUCCUCGCGCGACAUGGAAGCCCCAUGACACUGUUGAUCCAGAUCUGCAUCAUUUCCAACAUUAAGCAGAUGAUCAACAUUGAAUCUUAUAUGGCAUUUUCCUGAGCUAAGAACCUUACCUUCAGCUUCAACAAUAUCAUUGUCUUUGAUAAUCACAGAAUUUUUUGCUAGGUUGCUUUCAUCGUUACUGCUCCUGCAAAUUGAUACAGUUCCGAUUAGGAAUUCGAUUAGAUUAUGAAAGCAAAAAUAUAGCAGCAAAGCAACAUAUCUUCAAAACAUUCUAAAAACUGUUGUAAUAAAUACCAUAAGGAAAUUUAUAAGAUCAAUGGGAUACAUAAGUGCGUCGUGCAAAGGCUCAAAUUCCAGUUUGUACCAGUCCACCCCAAGCAUCCUGGCUAAGACUGGCGAGGUACUGAGUCCAAGAUCCCUAUAUAUGAAAUUAACAGGAGCAUUUCAUUGAAACCUGAUUGCACUGGCUAGUAUGAACCAGGAUCAGUGACUGGAACCAACUGACACUCAUGGGUAUCUGCCAGGAUGCAUGAAAAAAGGAGACCCGAGGCUCUUUUCUUUUCCCUGUUUGCUUCACAUUGGUGCCUCUCGAAUAAAGAUAGAGAGAAACCCCAAUACAAAUCCUUCAACCUUACUGGCUUUCAAAGCCCCUCCUCCAAAAAUAAAUGAAUAAAGAAAGAAAGAAAAAAAAAAAGGAGUCUCAAAGCUGCUGCAAUGGGCCUUAGACACUGGACUGAGAACCAAGGAGAGGCCUUGUGCAAGUAACUACUCUAAAUAGAAGAUACAGCAUAACAGGAGAAGGGAAAAGGAGAGAAAAGGUGGGGAGAGAGCUCAGAUCAUGGGAGGCACCAUAAAAUCGAUACCAAAUUAGUGUUGAUACUUCCACCAGCUCCAUAAGCCCAAUUAUCAGCUCAAAAGCCCCUCAUAAUCCUAAAAUAUGAACUAAACAAAUCCUAAAAAGCCUCUAAACAAUCAUUAAAAAUAAGAAAUUUGGAAAUAAUGAAUCAUCCCCUUGCACCUUUGCAAUGAACUAUUUGUAUUCAUAAAUGUAUUCCACAUAAACGAGUUAAGAUUUUAUAGGACUAAAUAAGAAGGUAAAAUACUGCUUUAGGAGACGUUAUUCAGAAUGGAAGCGCUUGAGAACAUAAACCAUGAUAUAGGGAGGUUCACUUCCUCCCAAUAUCUAAUAAUUUAGCACAAGUCUAUCAUGCCAGCGGACAACCGAACUAGGUUGAGAUUUGAGGUGUUAACUACCACAAGAGUAAGGUUUUGGCUCGAAGAGCUACUGUGAUAAACAAUAGCAAAGUUAAAGUUUGCUUUGAAGUAUAAUUAUCAUUAGCAUUUGAUGAUAGAAUAAGGCAUUAUCACAAGCUGUUGGUGUAAAUAUCUUACGCUUGCCCCAGACUUACUGCAAGCUUUUCUAAAUACUUUUUAAAAACUUCCAAACCUUGCCCAUGCCGCCACAUCGCAAUUCCUGAGCAUUAACAAGUACCAAAUAUGAUUUAUUUCAUUGUUUAAAUUGUAUUCUUGCAACAAUCUCCAAACCUUUAUUACCCCUUAUUUGUCUGGGCUUGGGAUCAACAUAGACAGAAUUGGGGGGAAAGUUGCUUAUUUUGGAAGAAUCAAGAAACUGAAUGCGACAUCUAGUUAAAAUCAAAUACAGUUGCAAAUGACAAAUCUGUUUAUUGUUUAAAAACUUAGGCAUCCACAUUAUGCCCUUUUAUACUCUAUCUACUCAGAAUGAACAACUGAUCGACCCUUAUUUUUGUAUAGACUAUAUUUAGGCAUCCAAUUCCAUCCCUUUUAUCACAGAUGAGAAGGAAUUGUAUCGAUCACCCCGUUAAUGUUUACCAUCUUCCCUUAAUAAAUAUUGCUAACUCCAUCCUUAAUCAGAAAGGUAUGGAUUAUUUUAUUUUCCCUGGGAGAUAAUCCAUUUUGCACCUAAAAGAACAAUUUAUACCUAACAGUAAAACGCUCUAAUUUUCCUUUAUCAAACUUCUUGGGCAUAAAAACAACAUCUUGGUGAUAGAAGACACGAGAAAGGAGUGUUUGCCAGCCAAUAAAAGGUUUGUAAACCAUGAAUGCGAGGAAGAACAAGCAGACAACAAAGAAGAAGAGGAGGAGGAGAAAGAAGGCGGAGGGCGACCGAGCUGGAGGGACCUGGCGGAGGAAUCGGGGACGGAGACGAGUGCGCAAUCCUCGCCGUCGCUCUCGGGGGGAUCGACGUUGAGAUCGGCGAUGAUGGCCGCCUUGGGAGGCGGCAGCGCAAUCUUGACGGCCUCCGCCGCCGCGGCCGCCGCCGAGGCCGCCGCCUCGAAGUUGUGGCCGCCGGCCUGAUCGCCGUUGGGCGGUGGCUGGGUUUCAGACAUCUCCCGGCAGGGGUUUGGGGGUUUGAGAAGGACGACGGACGGAGCGAGCUUGGGUUGCCCCAAAAAAAGUUUGGAAUCGAUCUUGAUUCGGUUGCCCAAUGAUCCCUAAUCGCUCAUACGAUGAACCCCGAGCCACCGAAGCCCAGGCAGCGGAUUUAACCGAUUUUUUCAAAAGAAGAAAAAGUGGGGCGCUUCUUUUGUUUAUCCAAUUCCACCACACCCUUAUAUCAGGGAUUCAGUAUUCCGCGCAUGCUUUGAUCAACGAGGAUCCAUCGUAUGGAUGGUCGCUAUAACAUCUUAAUUUGGAUUGUAUUUUUUUUUUUAGGUACCGGCUACUCGCACUAAUUUCGCAUGAGCAAGACCAACAGAAUACACAAUUCAAUAGAGAAAGAACAAUAGUAUGAUGUUCCAGAGAGUCUCUCCAAAAUAAUGGGCUGCAUGUAUUUGUAUUUAAAAAAAAGAAAAAUGGAACAGGCUAAGCCCACAAGUGUUUGUAUAAGGUGUGCAAAAGUUUUCGUACCAACGUGGCACACCAUUUUAGUGUGCUAUGUUUUAUUUAAUCAUGUCUUUUUUUACCCUCUCAUUGGAAUUUUCUUUAUCUAUUCCUUUGGAUUUAUCUACGCUUGUAUUAUUUAAUAAUUUUUUUAUAAAUAUUAUUCUAAAAAUUUAAAUUUGCGUGAAUACCCUCUUCAAACUUAUAUUUAUUUUUGUAUUCUCAUAAAACACUGUUUUUACACAAAUACCCCAAAUAUAAUGAUUCUUCUAACACCGUUAAUGAUUCUUUUUUGUCUUCCAUCGUGAUCGCCUUAUAAAUAUUUCUUUUUUCACAUCUAUCCAUUAAGGGUAUAUUAGUUAUUUUAAUUUGAAACUGUUAAUUUUUUUAACGGCGUUAGAUUGUGUGGAUACAUAUGCAAAAAUAAGGAUAAAAAAGAAAAUAGCAAAACAAGUGCUUUACGAGGGCAUAUAUGCAAAUAUCACUUUUGGAAGGAUAUCAUACAAAAUUUGAUAUUUAGAAGGAUAUUCAUGCUCAUCCAAUUUGUCAAAAAAAAAAAAAAAACUUUGUUUGAGGCAACUUUUAUGCUACCCUUGUUAUGGCUUUAUUGGCCAUUCUCCUAUGCAAAGUUACUGGAUCCUUGUUUGGUGCCAAUUGGAUACUGGUUGUUGUCCACCAUGUGGUUGACAUGAUGGCAUUUCUUCUAUGAGGAACUCACUCGAGAUCUUGUGGCAACUUGUCAGGGUCGUGAUUGGCUAUUUGAUUUUUGGCAUGGUUAUUCAAAAUGGAUUCAUGAUAAAACUAUGGUAAUGUCUUUUUAAGUUAUUUUUUGCAUAACUCAGUAGGAUUCAAGGUGUUAGAUCUGUGAAUUAGACAAUUCAUUUGGAUAUAGCCUAUAUAAACUUAAUACUUUUUAACUUGAAUACUGUCCUUCUAGAUCAAACAAGUUUAAAGCUUUUCUUGAUUAAAAUUGAACCGAAGAGAUUUGGUUCUAUGUUCAUGAUUGUUUGUAUAUUGCAUGAUAGUUGUGACCACAAAAGCUUUAUGAGAUAUGGAAUAGCAUAUUGCAUGUAGCAUAUACGGUUUAUGUAAUUAUAGAUAUUACGUAAUACAAAUAACCAUGACCGCAAGAUUGGAUCUGCUUGAACCCAAAGUAGAGAGGGUAUAGAUUCGAACAAAAUCAUUUAGAUCACACUUAUUUUGAGGAUUUUUAUCCUUUUGUAUUUACUUACAUAAUGAUUAUCUAGGCUCUAUUUGGAUAUACUAAAAAAUAGAAUAUUUUAUGAAUUUUGAAACUACUAACCUUGAUUUUGCAAUGUGAGAAGUUUUUUUGUGCCAUGAAAUCUCCAAAUUAUCCUUAAAUCAUAAAAUUGAAAAAUUCUAAUUGGUGUAGGAUUUUCUGUAUUCUUUUUUUUUUUUACCCUAUCAGUUGUAUUCAAUUUUUUUCGUCAUUAAACUUUCUCUUUUUAACGACUAAUCAAUUUCAAGAAAGCCUCGAACUUUAAAAUUUAUAGAAAAAUAAAUCACAAUUUUAAAUCUAUAACAUUUAAUCAUAAUAUUAAUCUUUACUUGAUUAUGUUGAUUGUUACAUAAUGGAGUAAUUUCUAAUGUCAUCAACCAUUUUCAUAUUUUGAAAAAAAAAACAAUUCAACUAAAUGCUGGUUGGGUAAAUAGAACUAUUAAAUUUAUUAUAAAAAUCAAAAAAAUACCGCUGGAUUCAUUAUAACAGAAUGAUUGCAUAAAAAAUAUAUUAGAUGUAAGAGGAAGGAUCAUAUUAACAAUGGUCGUGAUAGUAACGUGCAUGUAAUUAGAGAAACUAAUACAUAUGAUUCCAAUCUCAUUAGCCAAUGCAUAUUUUUGUUGCCUUAAUGCAAAUUUUGAGCUAGAGUUCUUGAUAAGAGAAAGAAGUGCAUGUUCACUAAAACAACAAAUAAUCUUAAACUAAAUAAUAACAUAGGAGAAUGAAUGUGACAUCGCAAAUGAUAAAAAUUGUCGAAUCCAAACUUUUUUUUUGCUGUGACAAAUCUAUGCAACAAACUAUGUAUAUUUAUAAAAUAAUAUUUCAUAACUAUAAAAUGUUUAGAUUUCAUAAAGUAAAUAAUUUAAAUGUUUCAAAUACUUUAAAUAACUAGUACAUACAAAAAAAGAAUUUAUCUUUUUUAAAAUAUAUUUCUAUUUUUUUAAAUACCGGUUCAGCGGACCUUGAUAGUGGCAGACACCUGAUGAGCCAUAUAGUUUAUUUUACUAUUUACAUAGCUAGAUAAGUGGAGGCUUAAGCUAUUUGUGCCACUUAUCUCUAUGCCUCUUACAAUUUACAUCCUAAACAACUACCAGCCUAGAUUUCCAAGAUGUGGAUAAAAAAAAGCUCCAUUGUUUUCCUUGACUAUAACUAUAUGCUUUCAGUCUAGCUUAAUAUUUUAUUUAACUAAAGUUGAGUAUUUCAUUAUAGUCUUGAUCUUGGAUGCAAAAUGCAACUUGCUUGAAGCCUAUUCUGGAUUUUAUCAAUGAAUGAGGACUACUGAAUUUGGUUGUUACCAUAAGGAGAGAGUGCUGCUACUUUAUUCAAUGGAAAUCAAAACUAUUAAGGUUUUUUAAGAGCAUUUUGUCAUAUCUAUGGAAGUAUAGCUAAUAAGGUUUGUUAUGUUUAAUUCUUGCAAACAUGGUAGGAAAAUUUCAACUUAUGAUCUUCUUUUGUUUUGCUUAUGUACUGCAAAUUAUUAUGCCCAUGAUUUCUGCUAUUUCUUUAAGAACAUAUUUUCACCUUUGCCUUUCAUGCUGGCCAUGUUUCAAGUUUUAUCAGAACCUGCCAUCAUCUCUUACUGUCUAGAGAGUUAGUUCCAUGGUGAAACAGAGUGGUUUGACAAUACUGGGAACAUUUUUUUCGCCUACCACUUUUCCUAAAUGGAAACAUGAUCUAGUUGUGAAGCAAAUCUAAGUUUUACAAGAGAGGAAAAAAGAGAGGAUAUGUUUGAAUGUAUUAUUAAGCAUGUUGAAGGCAGAUAUGUUGAAGUAUAUUCAUGGUGUUCGAUGUUGCUGCAUUUAAGUGCGCACCACCGUUUGAGCCUCGUUGGGCCCAAAUUUUGGAGAAUUAAACGUGUAUAUAUAUAUAUAAAUGCACAAAUAUUUUCUCAAAAUUAAUAUUUAUAUUUAUAUCUUUAUAAAAUACUUAUUUUAACUAUUCUAUUUUCUUUUUUUUUAUUCUUGUUUUUACAUAUAUGCUCAUGUUAUCUAACGCCAUUAAAAAAUUAAUGGUUUCAAAUUAAAAUAACUAAAAUAUCCUUAACGAAAAGACGUAUAAAAAAACAUUUAUAAGACGAUCACGAUAAAAAAUAAAAAAGUAAUUUAAAUUUUUUAUUUUAUUUUUAAUUAAAAUAAAUAUAGUUUUUAUUAACAGUGGUGCUAGAAGAACUGUUAUAUUAGGAGUAUUUAUACAAAAAUAGUGUCUUAUGAAGAUAUAAAAAUAAAUAUAAAUUUUCAGAGAAUAUUUAUGCAAAUUUAAUUUUUUAAAAAAGUACUCAUGGAAGAAAAAAACCUAAAAUUUUAUUCUAGCUCUCGUGCAUAUAAACCAUCUUGGGACUGUAGUUUGAAUUUUGAAGUCUUCUAAUGCAUUGAAUCGUGCGAAAGUUAUUUUGUGUCGGGCUUGCAGCAUGAAACUAUUGUCAUGAAUCAUGCUUCAGAAAAAUGUGAUGAUUGGGACCCUACUUCAAUUAAUAAUGUCAUCAUGAAACUUUUGUUGCAGUUUUAAGCCUUCCAAUAAACGAUUUAUGAUAAAGAUCUAACAGGGCAAACCAAAAGCCUCCAUACAGCUAUUCAAGCAUCAAGAUCACCCGCUGAUUUAUCAGGAGCUACAAGUUCCAUGAAAGAUGCCCAUUGAGCAUCUUGUGAUUGGGUAAGUUGAAUGCCGUAGAGAAGUGGAAAAUAACAUGUUGUGGGAUGGGGUUCCGAACUUUAGUCCCAUAUCGGCUAAUCAGCGGAAAGGUCUGUACCUUAAAUGGGGGGCUCAAUAACCUCUUCUUAUCGAGGCGCCUUUUGGGGGCAAAACCGUGAGGGGUGGAAAGGGUGGUUCCACCCGGAGCGCCACCAGAGGGUGGACCCCCGGGAGCGGUCGACGUCGCUUUCUCUGCUCGGCUGGUGUGCGGACUGUUGCCGGGGUGAAAACCCCGCAACAGAUGGCGCUAGAAGGAGGGCCCUGGCCACGCAUAGACCNNNNNNNNNNNNNNNNNNNNGGGAGGCUGUGUUGUGGGAUGGGGUUCCGAACUUUAGUCCCACAUCGGCUAAUCAGCGGAAAGAUCUGUGCCUUAAAUGGUGGGCUCAAUAAUCUCUUCUCAUCGAGGCGCCUUUUGGGGGCAAAACCGUGAGGGAUGGAAAGGGUGGUUCCACCCGAGGCGCUACCAGAAGGUGGACCCCCGGGAGCGGUCGACGAUCCCCGAUCCCCAGAGCGGACAAUACCUCGGUGAGGACGCAGUCGCUUUCCCUGCUCGGCUGGUGUGCGGACUGUUGCCGGGGUGAAAACCCCGCAACAUAGCACAAAGCAAAUAAUUUCAAAAAAAAAAAGAAACCGAGACAACAAAAUAUAUUUGAUGUUAAUAUUUUUUUAUUUUUUUUCAAAAUCAUUUUCAUUGCCUCUAAAAAAUAAAAAAUCUUUACUUAAAUUUUUCAAAAAUAAGAAAAUCUUUUUUUUACAAUCAACAUUACCUCCAUUGUCACUGCGUAUGCUUUCACCACAACUGCUGCUACCAUUCCUCUACACUCCGCUGGCUCGUCGGCACACCUGUCCUUGCCACCACCUCAGCUACCAUUAUAUUGUUGCCACCUCCGCCGUUUUCUCGUCGCCUUUUACCACCAACACCAUCGGCGCUUUCAUUAUGUUGCUUCCAUUAUCUUGGUCACUAUUACCAUCACCUCCAAUACCAUUGCCAUAUUUAUAUUUUCAAAAAUAAUCGACUACAAAAGCAACAUUUCAGUGUACAAGGGUCAAAUAUAAGCCCCUCCCCACCAAGUGACAUGCAGAUGUUAUUUCCAUAUUCUGAACUUGUGACACCCAAAAUACAAUAGACCAACCUUACAUUGCACCAAAGCCCAUCCUAAAAAGUAAUUGACUAUAACAAACAUAUUUAUAUUUUUAAAUACUCACAAAAAUAAAAUAGAAUUUCAAUUUUAUGUUUUGAAAAUAAAAAAAUAAACUUGAAAAAAAUUCUUUUAAUCCUUGGGAUCUUUUAGAGAAUGGUUAAGGAAAACACAAUUAGUUCCUACCAUAGCAUAUAUUUGAAAGGAUGUUCACCAUCUGUAAACCUUUACAUCCAAAUGAUAUAAUGUACAGAAAACUUCCUGCAUGACACCGGCAUAUCAAACAUAUUAGUGAUCAGAGGCUUUACCUUUAAUCCAUCAUGUAUCUUUAAAAGGACUAAAGGCUAAGACAUAAUAAAAAUGUAUAUCCAGAUUAGAAAUUACCAAUUAGAUGUUUAUUCUGUCACACAUGAGAAACUCUUUUACGCUUCAAAUAUGUUCUUUCAAAUGGAAGAACUAAUUUGAACUUGUACCUCAAAUUAAUAUAGAUCCAUAUAGACUUUCAUAAAGGAGGGGAAAAUAAUAAUAAUAAAAAAAGAUAUGCAAGAAAUCUGUUUACAACUAAAGGAGAAACUCUUACUGCUAUUUUCUCUGCGGUAAGAUUGUUGAGAUAGAUGAAGUAUUAAGAACUCAAUUAAAGGAGGAUUAAAUCUAUGAAUGCAUUAAUGGCAUGAUAGACACCUGGUAAACAGAAGGAUCAAAUGCAACAUGUUUCAUUAACUGACAUAAAAUAAUUGUUCCCCCGAAACACAUCUCGUCCCAAAUUGAUAAUAACAGAAAACAAGCAGACCCCUAUUUCUCAAGCAUAAAAUAGACAGUUCAAAAUGAAAGAGUACACAGGUAAUUAUUGUUAAAGACACAAACGUGAACCAAAAGCUGCCAUUAUAUAAAGAAGCCUGGAAUUACUUCUGAAGCUGGAGCUUUUUGAUAGAUUCAAUUUGCUUUGCAGGGUUCAGUCCCUUAGGGCAGGCAUGAACACAGUUCUUUAUAAGGUGGCAGCGGUAAAGUUUGAACUCAUCAUUGACAGCCUCAAGACGCUCCUUUGUGUAUUGGUCCCGGCUAUCUUGUAUCCACCUAGACAAAAAUACCCAGGAAACACACCAAUGUGAAGAUAAAUACAUGUUGAGAACCAAGGUCACAUACUCUCAUCGAUCAAAACUAUAAGCAUAUAUUUCAUAAAAAUGAUGCAACAAACUCUUUUGCAACAGUUGUCAGUUGUGACAUUGUAAAACAGGUGAAAGCAAUAAUGAAAUUAUAAGGAACCAAGAUUCAGAAAUUGUGCAUAUGACACGGGAAAAAAGAAGUAUGUCAAAAGAACAUGGAUAUGCCAUGGUUUGCUUAUCGGAGCAGGUAACCCAGUGCCCCAUUCUUUUCUUUCCCUUUUCUCAAUCUAUCUACAUUCUCUUUCCUCAAACACACACAAAAAAAUAGCCCUCAUUUUCCCCCAUCUUUAACAUGUUCGAUCCUUUCUUUUCAUCCUUUAUAAUCCAGAAGUAUUCCAAGCACAUAAAUCAUAGAAACAAGCAGCAUGUGGUUGAAUUAGCAAUAUCUACAUGAUGCAGAUGACAAAACCAACAUAUGUUUAAGUAUAAUGUUCAAAUAUCACAUCAUUUUAUAUGCAGAAGUACUUGUCUUGCUUUAUGUUAGAUGUACAGUCUCUUUAAAUUUCAAUAACAGAAGAUAGAGAAAAGAUAUAAUAUGGUAAGAUGAUGGUGUUUACCUUAUUCCAACACUUAGGUGAUGUAUGAUUCAUCAAUUUGGCAAGUAAGGACCAUAUGAAAGAAAGUACUAAACUGGUUAUCUGUGUAGAUGUCAAAUUGAUAGGUACUACAAUAGAAUGUUCAUUAUUAAUAUAAGGGGGGCUUCACGGAUAGUUGGAUUACUACUUGCCUUCACAAGGAUACUGAUGUAAUGCUCUAACAACUCUCAUUCAUGUUAUUGUACGUCUUCUCACCUAUUUCUCAUGAUUCCCCAAGAACUCACUGGUCAUCUUUAAAAUUCUAGCAAUAUGUCUCUACUAAUUGAAUGAAUCUCCAUCAAGAGACUGAAAUAAAAAAAUCAAAAUGCUUCCAAUCCGUAAUAUCAGAGUCCAUGACCAACGGGCUUCUCUCUUGAGAGAGAUGAUAAAAAUCAUGCCAUACGAGGUUUUUAGUUAAUUAAUAUAUGAUGAAUAGGACAUAGAUGAUCUUUGUUUCACCAGUUCACUUUUUGAGCAAAGAGUCAUGUAUGUUGAGUGUCCUUAUCCUAUAUUUUCAUUUGAUAAAAGGUCAUUGCCUCAUAUGUGCAAACUGAAUAAUUUACAUCAACUCAAGUUGUUAAACACCUGAUAUACAAAAACAGGAUAAAAUUAUGUCAUUGUCUGAUCAAAUAAGACCAGAGUCAGUCAGAUGUGCAUUCACUCCCUUAGGAAGCGUGUUGGCUGCAGGUAUGCAGAAGUGGGUCUCUGCAAAAAAAAUAGCAAAAAAAAAACACUUAGGAAGCGGGUGUUGAGACAAGUUUCCAAGGAGUUUCAAAAAUCAGUACGCGACCCUAAAUGGAAGAUUCCUACCCCUAAGCUCACUCCUUCAGCUAACUUGAUAUGAGUUGAAGCUAUGACAAUUGUUGGCACUGUGAUUUUGCAGCUAUUAACUCUUUUUAGUUUGUAAAAAGAAAAACCAUUUUUACACAUCUGCUCAACAAUUUUACAGAAAAUUAAGAAGAGGACCACCAAAGGUAACUGGAAACAAAUAAUGUCCAAAAGAGGUUUUCUUCUGUCACUCAGUCACAGCCUCGUGGUUGGAAAGAGCAAAAGUAACAGUAUGUGUGAUCAACCUGAAGGUUGAAUAGUUAUCUGAUUUGACCCACCAGGAAAGAGAAAAAGAACAACAGGUCAUCAUCAGCAGAACUUGGCUGCCACAAAAGGUUUUGUGUGUGCGUGCGUGUGUGUGCAUGUGGAAGCAGAGAUGGCCUCCUUUCCCACCAUUCUAACCUAUUGAGGGAUUUGACCAAAUGCUGAAGGUAAUUUCCUUACUAAGCCACCUACAGAGAAGCUAGUCACCAGAAGAGGGAGAGCUGAAGCUUCCCAAAAAAGGGCCAGAAGGUGCCACAAAGCAAGACUCAACCUGUGCGUAUCAAUGUUUGAACUACCCUCUCAGCUAAGUGUGGAGCUAAAACGCAAAUCAAGUUCCACCCAACCUAAAUCAUCUUUUUGUUAUGAGGCACAUCCAUACCUAAUGAGGUUAGAUUGAUCAGACUUCCUGUAACAUCUCGGGUUCUGCGUUCAAAUCCAGGUUUGUAACUCUAUGUACCUGAAGUUCUCAGAUAAACUGCUGAAAUCAGCAAGCAAAAAAGCCCCUCAGAUCAGAAGCCAUGAGAUAAGCCCCAAGUUGAAAUCUCAUAGGUACAUCUCACAUCUCCCUGUUUAAACUGAUAUUGACUAAACAAACACCUGACAUCCAUCAGAUUAUCAUCCAGAUCCAAAGGAUUAAAUAAAAGGGGAAAUAUGCAAAUUUACUCAAUAAAUGCUAAACUCAAAUAAAAAAACAGUACCAGUUUCACAUUAAACAGAUAGCAAUAACAAAUAUGUAACUUCUCCAAAUUUCUCACCCUAUUUACAUUCACCACUUGAAGUACUUGCAAAAUUUGGCAGGACCAUAGACAAAUCACCCAAGAAAAAUCAUCAAGGUUUCUCUAUUCGAAUAUAACAGCAUCCUUUUUUCUGAUUUCUUUUCAUUACAUUUUAUUAUUUUGUAAACACAAUAGAAGGGAAUGAUUACAAAACCAAAAAAUACUCCCCAGUUUCCAAGAACUUAUCUUCAAAGCUUCACAGGAAGAUUAAUCACCAAAAAUAAAAAGAAAUCACCCCGGAGGAAUCCUCUAAGCAUCAAUCAUCAUUUAAAAAUAUCUACAUUUAGAGAUUAUAAAUCCGCAUUGUUACCGUCAAACCAUGAAACUGGAACACAAAACAAGCAAAAAAGAAGGGAUGAUUCCACAAAACUUCACCUUUAAGCUAAGAACAAGUAUCAAUCAAACAAAAUCCAACCCCAAUCACCCCCCGUCUUAAAAAGAAUUCAGAAAGAAAAAGUGGUCAAGGUAAAAAAACCCUAACCUGUGGGCAUGGAGGAGCGCAGCGGGGCCGAGAUACGACUCCGGGUUCCACCAGUAGCUGGGGCAGGAGGUGCUACAGCAGGCGCAGAGAAUGCACUCAUACAUACCAUCCAGCUUGGCACGAUCCUUCUUGCUCUGCGGGAUCUCCUUCCCGGGGACCGGCGGCGGGUCCUUGCGCUUGAGCCACGGCUCCACGCUCUUGUACUGGUUAUAGAAAUUGGUCAUAUCCACCACCAGGUCCUUGACCACGAACAUGUGCGGCAGCGGCGUGAUCGUCGUGGGCGAUCCGGCCGACGAGAUCUUGGUGAGGCAGGCGAGGCCGUUGUCGCCAUCCAUGUUCAUGGCGCAGGAGCCGCAGAUGCCCUCGCGGCAGGAGCGGCGGAAGGUGAGGGAGGGGUCGACCUCGUUCUUGAUCUUGAUGAGGGCAUCGAGCACCAUGGGGCCGCAAUCGGCGAGGUCGAUCUCGUAGUUCUGGAGCUCGGGUUUGGAGAGAUCGUCGGGGUUCCAGCGAUAGAUGGAGAAGGUCUUCAUCCGCUUGGGCUUGGUGGACUGGGGCUCUGAUUGGGAGGAGUGGGCCUGCGCCGGGACCAGGCGCGCCGCCGUGGCCGCAGCGGGGGUAGGGGCCGGCGGUUGGGUCGGUAGCAGGCCGCGGAAGGCGGCGGAGCCACGGCGGAGAAGAACCCUCGCGGCGGCCAUCGAUGACGACUGAAGGAAGAGCGAGAGUGAGAAGAUGGAAGGAAGCUUACCUUGCGGUGAAUGUAUCGCAGCGAAGUGGGCGUGACUCCCCAGGACAGCGCCACACGCGUCGCCAUAUCUAAAGGUGGAGGCGACCAAUUAGAAUUCACAACGCCGACCGUUGGAUCGCGCCCAGCACAUCUCUCAAAGCACCCUGAACUCCUUCACUCAACCGCCUGCACGGAUCUCGAAGCAACCAUCUCGAUCCAACCGUAAGUGCGCGCGAAGGACGGUGAAGCCUUCUUUGGCGCUAAAGAUGCAAUCCCGUCCCUGACGCGCGCAAGAGCCAAGAUAGCAAGGGAUAUUUUCGUGUACAAGAGGUUUUGCUCUAACGGCUAGAUUUAGAGUGCAAUAGGAUAUUUAUAUCUUGUUCGUUAUCUAUUGAUUUCUAUAAUUUAUAAAUGAUUAAUUAUGAACGCCAUAUUGAGAUUUGCCUAAGUGGAAGAAAAUGUUAAAGGUGAAGAAAUUCUAGGCUGAUUUUUUUUGAAGUAUUUAGGAUUAAAAGGAUGAAUAAAAGGAAAAAGAAAGUCAGAUUGUCCCUUUCUAAGGGACUGCUGAUUCUGAUUGUUGUUUUUUGAAUUUUUAGUUAGGAGCAAAUAGAAAAAUUCAAGAUUUCUGAAAAUUUAGACUUUUUUUAGGAUGUUUACUUUAGCAUGACAAAUUAGACAGAUGGAGAACUAGAAUCAUCAUGAAAUUGUUAUUUUUGAAAAAAAAAAGUAUUUUUCUCUCUCCAUCCAUGGCUACUUAUGUGCACCAUAGCCGCUUUUGAUAGGUGUAAAAAGCAGCUUAAAAUUAUAAGGGGGAGAUACCUUGUUAAUUGUACAAUUUAUGCCAUUGGAAAGCAACCUUCCAGGAUGCCCUUUGUAAAAAAGUCUAACAAAGAGAAUAAAGAAUUUUUGCAUUAAGAUUUUAUGACAAUGCCUCUCUUCAAUGGUCUCUUUCUAUGCAACCCUGAAUUAGAAUGAGAAAAGUGGGCAUUUGAUGGUUUUGAAAGGUUACUAAUAGUUCUAAAAUUAUAGGAGAAUGAGAAACCAACAGUCGAAGCUUUGAACACUAUAUCAAAAUUAUGUCGAAGUCUCUAUGGUAUUUGUAAUCGGAAUCAUGGAAAUGGGACCGAUAGUGCAUGCAGAUAUCUUCAAAAGAUGACUCGUUGGAUGAAAAAAUUUACAUGCAGAUCUAAGUUUAAAAGUCCCUUGUUUUGUAAUACAUGAACAACUCUGGCUGGCCAGGUCUCUCAGGAUAUUGCAAUUGUGCCUGCUGUUGUUGUGCAGGGUCAUCCACCUUCAUGGAAGUAGUAUUCAAGGAUGUAGUUGAAGGCUAUUGGGUAUGUCUUUCUGAAGAAAAGAAUGAACUUCUCGAAGCCUGAAGUUAACACUUGAAAUGAUAAAUUAAAAGAAGAUAAAGAGUCAUGAUUUCACAUGUGCACUGAAACAAUAGGAUAGAAAGUUACUUAUUGUCUAUGUUGAGACGACUACAAUAGCCUCUCAAAUGUGCUUGUGCUUUAGGCUUGGGUCAUCAAGCAUGAUUCUAUAAAUUACAAUUUCUAGCUUAUCAAGUACGAAAAAAAGGCUUGUAGCUACUACUCGUAUUCGCACAUAGUAUCAAAUGCUUAUGAGGUAUCAUCUCAGAAGAGUAAAUGUCAGACCUAAAUUCAACUCAAGUCAUUUUUACAUAUAAGAUUUGAAGCAAGAUUUCAUACUUUUGGGACAACUUUCAACCUAAUGUCAACCCUCAAAUUUUCUCAUCCAAGCUUGAGAAAAACUUUUAACAACAUCAAAGAUGAUCCAAAACAGAAAUACUCGACGGACCAGGAUUCUUGAAAUCGAGAUAUAAUCUAAGAUAUGAUCCAUAACUUGGCCAUUCUAGGGUGCAAGGAGCUAGGUUAGAAUUUUUGAACUAUUUUUUUAUUCAAAUUAAAAUUAAGUUUAUGAGUUGAUCAGGUGUAGUCAAUAUUACGAGAACCACAUCUUCCCCAAUUGAAGGUCAAGUCUUGGUUCCACGUAAGUUUCCAUGUUACAAUUUGUGAUACUAAAAAGAGUCAGAAAAAGUCAAUAGAUUCGCCUGCUCAUGCCAUGUUGUCAACCUCUUUAACGAAAGAUUUGAUGUCCGAACGUCUUUAACUGAAAUAAUCUACAACCACUCUCCACCCUUGUUUCCCACCCAUACAAACUCCCUCUCUCGCUCUAUAUAUAUAUAUAUAUAUAUAUCACCUUCUUCUUCUCUCUUCUUCCAUCCCCAGUCUCCUCCCUCGUAGCAUUCUUCUUGUAAUAAAGGUGACCACGACCGACCUCAUGGCGAGUCUCCGAGCUCUCUUCGUGCUUGCCCUUGUCCUUGUGGCGGUCGUGGCCACCGAGUCUGCCUCAUCCCCGGCUUCCACCCCCUCCGCCGCCCCGGACACCAACAACCAAAACCCCCUCCUGGCUCCCAAACCCAACACCCCCCUGCCAGAUUCUGGGGCAGAAUCUCCUGACGGUGAUGCCAUGGACGAUGACGACGCAGCACCAGCUGGAUCUCCCCACGCGGCCACUGCAAAUAAUGCACCAGAGGGCACGUCGAACGCCGACUCCGGCGACGGUAGCCCCACGUCUUCUGACAACAGUAGUGCCUCAGCUAUUGGGGUGACUUCCAUGGCUGCCGUCGCUGCAGUUGCUGCAAGCUACAUUGUCUUCUAAGCUGGUUCCAUGGGAAGCACUCUUAUUUAUUGCUAUCAGAUUCUUGACAGAUUUGAGUAUAUAACGCUUUAAGUUUGAGAGUGCUUCUUCUUUUUUUUUCCUCCUCAUGGUCUGUGUUUUGCAAUAAUUUCAAUUAUUAAUAAUAUUAUUAUUAUUCUAAUUUUCUUGGAAUUCAUGAUAUAGAGAUGAGCUGAAGAGAGCUUAAAAAGAAAAUAAAAUAAAAAUCUCUUCCUUUUGGAUUCUCAUAUGUAUGUUCUAUUUUAUAUUUCGAGGGUCAAUGCAUUAGAGCAAACAAAUGAUAAACAUUUAAUUUCCUAUAAAAUAAAAAUUUGGAGUACAAAUAAGGAACAUGAUGGAUGUAUGAACAUCUAAAGAGAAACUCUUAGGAUAUGUCAAGUGUCUUUGCAAUCUUUAAGAAAUAAGUGUUAUUUAUCAGUACUCUCUUUUUUUUUUUGCAAAUGACCCUUCCUAAUCCUACCUUGUGCUUUGUAUGUUAGACACCAAAAGGUUUUAACCAGCUAACCUGAUAGACAGAAUGCUUCUAGCUCUCCUACGCAACAUCAGAUGCCUUAAAUUACCUGAUACAUGACACCUUAGUCAAUAUAUAUGGUUUGGUAGCUGAAGUUAUGUUAUAUCAAACAGCCAUUGUUGUAGGCUUAUGAGAGCUAUGUACCAAGGAAAUGCUCACACAUAGACCAUAGUGGUCCUCUGACAUAAAAUUGGUUGUUUUCUCUUGUUGUUUCUGAGCUACAGUCUUGCACCCUAGCAUUCAUCAGUCUUUGCCUAAAAGGUCAGCAGAACAUGGAGGCAAUGGGGUUUAAACAUCAUUAACCAUUACAAGGUCAUCAUAGGAGGUUGGUGUCUCUAUAAUGGCAAUUUAAAAGCUCUUGACAUUAAGAAUGGUGGUUGCAAAGCUUUCCCCUCAGCUCAACUGAUAUCAGAAUAACAAUCAAAAAGAAAAAUCACCAGAACUCCUCUUUGCUCCAGUAUCAGAAGACAGGCUUGCUCCAUAGCAAAUAAAACAGCCAGAAUACAGACUUCAUGAUUAUUUUGGCAUUCCACGACAAUAUGGUUGCUCUGUUGUACAAUCACUCAGCAGUGUCAUAGAUUCUGAAGCAUUAGAGUUAUAUUCAUAUUCUAAAAUGUAAUGCCGCUGAUUGGAAUUCAGUCCAAACCAUGAUCAUCAUGGAGUACAAGUUCACAUAGUCCCUGAUUCAAUUAUAAUUGUGAUUAGUUGCUGCUGCAUCUGGCCCUUUGUAGAGCAAUGUACUCUACAAAGGCCUUCUUGGAGAAAAAGCAUGAGGGCAACAAGUUUAUUCUCGCCUGCUUCUAGCUAUUGCUAAUAAACUGAAUUAGAGAUCUUUCACAUUUACAUGUAGAAAGAACUCAAAUUUAAACAUACGGUCGGAGAGCACUAUAAGCAUAUGAACUAAGAAGUUGUAGUCCUGGCUGGUAAUGAUGGUCCAUAUGAUACGAAACCUAAGGAAGCAAAAAAGAAUGAACAAAAUGCUUAGUAUCAGAGACCUCGGGAACUAACUGAGAUCGAUCUGGACCCUUUCUGGUUUAGCUUUCAUGCCCGGCUGCCCAGAGAAUUCAAUGCCCAGCUGACCCUUGUUUCCUGAUCCAAAGGCAUAAAGCUUCCCUGAUUCUGUUAGUACAAAUGUGUGCACAUCUGCAGUCCAACUUGAUGAGUUCGUAGGGCCAAUCUGCACGAUCCUUUCAGUGACUUUAUUGAGCGAGGUAACCAGCUUUGGCUUUGUUAGAAUUAUGGGACUAUAAUCCUGCAUCAAAAUAUGUCAAAGUUCAGCAACAUCUAAGGAAACUAAAUUGGUGCUUGUGCUUGAUUACAUUGCUUCAAAACAGAAAAUUGGAUGUUAAGUCCAAUAUGGAAAUCAAUCAUCAGAUAUAUGUGCAUGAUGCAAUCUGCAUGCUCAAGUCAAGGAUGUUAAAAUGCAGGCAAUAAUGGUCAUUAAGAGCAAGAAAAUGCAGUCUGAGCAAAAUUAUGGAAUUUCGAAAAAGUUCAGUAUGGAUUUAAAAUCAAAACUGAAAAGGAGUAUUCAUUCAAUGUAAAUAUAUUCACUAUAUUCUGCAUAUAAAUGCAAAUUUUCAUACGAAUGGAUUAGAAAUGUCUAACACCGAGCUUCAUAGCAUCUUACAUGCAGUUAUUUUAUUUUUUCGAGUCAAAAAGAAUGUGAAAUGCACAAAUUUCAUGCAUAAGAGAAUAUGACAAGAUCAGCAAGAGCUGAAGACCAUUUCACUUAAAGUAGGUAUUGCUCUUGUACCUACUGAGGCAUCAAUGAUGAUUCUGGUCCUCAUUGUUCAUUUCCAUUUAAAACUAUACUUUCUGAACGAAAAAGGAUGAAUCGACCACUCUGUUUCAUUUUGCAGAAUGCAAAUGAAAUUCUAUAGCUAUAUUUUUUAUGGAGAAAAUUUUCAUAUGUUUUUCUUCAGAAAGAAAUUCUCCCAUGUACAUAUAGUUCUAGAAAGCUUAUCCUACAAAUGAUUGGUGAUGCUCACUCUUUUACUGCACUACUAGAACAUGUUCAUCUGCACCUCAAAAACACAAGGAAAGCAAGUAAAACAAGUAGAAUGAGCAUACAAACCUGUCCACGAGCUCCAAUUAUGUGACCCAGAUUUGAGGAUUCUCCAUACCCAAAUGAGUAGAUAUCCCCAGCAUCAGAGACCACAAAAGUGGUAGAAUCGCCUGCUGCAACAUAGACUGCCUUAAUGUGGCUCAGGCCUUCCACUACCUUGGGAAGAGCCUGGUAAUCUUCAUUGCCAUGGCCCAGGCAGCCACAGUUCCCCCAGCCCCAAGUACAUACCCGCCCGUCUCGUCCCACAACAGCAGCAUGCCAGCUUCCUCCUGCAAGGCAGACAGGCUGCAGGUUCAAAGUGUUAAAAUGCGCGACCAACCUCGGGUACUUCUCAUGAGCUGUGGAACCAUGUUCUAGCUUUCCUCCCAAUCCACAGCCUACAGUGUACACAGACCUGCAUUACACUGAAAAGUGAGGUGAAUUCUGACAAAAUUGGGGAGCAAAGGCCCCUACAGAUUGUGGAGUGCAAGCAACAAUCUUGGAUUUCUUCCUCAUAGUGCUCUUAGUUUGAGAGGGGAAGAAAUGGAAACAACGAACGAUUAAUUUACUGCCAAAUACUCCUUCAAUGAAAAUUAAUUUACUGAUGUCAGAGAGAAUGAUAUAAAGCAUUCUAACAUACUGUCAUGCUGUAUGAAGUUCCAUUCAAGUGCAUGAUUAUUGAAGAAUUUCAGCAAUGCCGAAGAGAUCAAGUUUUUGUAUAAUGACGUAUGAGAAAGAUCAGCUCUUUACAAGCACACUACAUAGAAAGACAAAGUGUGAAGGAAUUUGAUUGCCAGUAUUUAAAACUCCCCUUGUUAGAAAUCUUGUUUCAUAAUAUGUUCUUCUUAUAUUAGAAAUCUUGUUUCAUAAUAUGUUCUUCUUAUAUCUGAAGUUGAAAGCAUAUAACUUUCAAGAAAACUUACAAGCCAUUAGGUUGAAAAGCAAGUGCUACAAGGUAGCAAUAGCCAGCAGCAAUCUGAACCACAGGUAAAUUCUCGAGAGGACCCAGGAGAGGACGGGGCUCUCGGUCGCUCGAAUCAGUAUGGUGGCCUAGCUUUUCAUAAGCUCCCCAGCAUAAAGUAUACACCCUGCCUUCCCCAGAGAGAACUGCAGGGAAUAAGCGACCCAUUACUGCUUGAACAACAAAUAUAUCCUUCAAAGAUUCCACUAGCCGAGGCUCUGCAACAAGCUUCAACUCAUGAUUCUGCAAAUCUGCUUCUCCUUCAAAAUUGUCCUCCCCAAAUGCAUAAACUCGCCCGGUAUCGCUGACCAGCACCGUCUUGCCCACUCCCACUGCUGCUUGAAUUAUUCGAAUGCCUUGCAGCGAUCUGUCAACCACCACCAAAUGUUUUGUUCUCUAUAAUCUCUUUCUACCUAAAUGUGUUCAUAAACCAACAGGAGGAAAUUUUAGAAGCACCUGAUUAGCUGCGGCCGUGCUUGAUUCUCUAAAGUGCCGAGGCCGAGCUGCCCCGAGCUAUUGUCACCAAAGGAAUAGACCGCACCGCUGGAGGUCACGGCAAUGCUGUGGCCAGGGCCUGCAAUUGCCUGAGACUUCCCUCUGCGUGUAGAAGAUUCAGCCGCCUGCAAAAACUUUAAGACCAGCUUCCAAGAACCACCACAUCGCUGCUUAAGUACUUCCCUUUCCUCUUCCACCAUUGCCUUAAAGAUGGUCCUUUUGAGGCACAUAUCCAAUGCAGCAACCUCAGGCAGGGAUAAAGAGAAGUCAGGUGCGAAAUUGGCAGGCUGCUUGAAGAAGGAACAUGUGGCCUGCAACAACCAACCACAGAGAUCGAUCAGCAGCAGAAGCAUUGCUAAUUCCAACACUGGGAAAUGGAAAACAUGGCUACUUGCCUCAAGCCUCGCAAGAUCCUGCGGAUCGAAGUUACAAGAAGUGAGGAUAUGGAGGACCAUGGAGGGGUUCGCCGCCAAGGGGAACUCCCCGGGGACGGAGUCGCCUAAGCCAUGGCGCUGCAGUCGCCGUUGGAGGGCGGGGAAGAGGAGCGAGAGCGGCUGGUCUAUGAUCUCAAGGUUCUCUGUUGAAGGCGCUGCCUCAGCCGUAGUAGUGAUGGUGGUGUCCAUGGCCGUGCCGCUAACUUAAAAACAGUGUUUCAAACUGCAACUUCAAACCAAAAAAUAAUCAUCAUCAAAACAACAGCAGCAGCAGGCUCAAUAUAAUGCAUUUAAAAUUGCAACACUCACUUUUGAUCGCUAUGAAAAGAUUUGCACAAUGCUGGAGAGUUGAAUCUAUAUGAAAAAAAAACAAAAAGAACAGAUUUUUAAAGCCAUAAAUAAUACCCUUUACAAUGAGAAAAAAAGGAAACAAAUACAGAGACCAAAUAUAAAAUAAUUUCUACUAUGUUAAACUAAAUCACGUGUGAUAUGAACAAUAUCAUUUUUGGAAAAAGCAAAAAAAGAAAAAAUUAAUAUGAAAAAAAACCAAGCAGUGAAAUCUAUUAACUACAAACUUGGUAUUUAGGAUCAAGCAAACGGAAAUCCAACAGAAUAUAAGAUCACGCGAAUCGGCAGAGGCAGAUGGAUCGUCACUGGAGAUCAUUAACGAAGGAAAGUAGAAAUAGAUAUAGUUAUAGGAGGAGGGUUAGGGAAGAAUACUAAUAUGAGCACAAUACCAUUUAAGAAAUUCAGUAUCUUGGGUCAACCAAAGAGAGGAAUUCCAUCUAAAUGGGAAACCUUUUUUUUUUUCCUCGAAAACAAAUAAAUCUGAUAACUGCGAACUUAUCUCCUGGCUUCCCUUAUAUCCGGGCCUCCCCAACCGUCCACGGUUUUCUCGCGUCCUCGUAAAUCCCGCCUUACGAGUUUCAACACCGUUGGAUUUGCUUUGACCCCACCGUGGACCAGCUCUAGACUUGAGGGUGCAACUUCUUGUGGUGGAGUCAAACCUGCGACCAACUCGUGGUUGGCACUUGAAGAAUUCACGAAAAACUACGCAGGACCAGCUAAAAGUCACUGGCAUCCCAUAGAUUGGAUUUGGAUUACAUGGAUCAAACUUCAAAUUAUAACUAGCCUGGGUUUUUAAUGGCUAGAGUUUGGCAUCUGAUCACAUGUAAAGUUAGUAUGGAUGGUUGUGAUCCUUUAGUUUGAGUUGUUCAUCAUUUGUGUGCCUUAAUAAAUGUGCACCUAAUUCAGAUAGAGGCACUUAUCUUGUAUCUUUCCCUGAGAAUUACAACUGAGCUAAGCAGGGUUUUGGCGAUUUAUUGUAGAAGUGAUUUUAGUGGUGACAUCUAGACGUACAGAACUUAUCUACUUUUUAAAAUUUUUGACAUGUAUUUCUUUCUUUCAUCUUUCUUGAUAGAGAUACGAGAAUCAAAAGAAAUAGAAAUUCUAAACAAUAUUAUGUUCGUAUGAGUUUCUUGGCUACUCUACUCAAACUUAUGGAUUCAGGUUGUAUAUUUCGUCUAGAAGAAUGAUUGAUCUUCUUUCAAGAUGUUGACUAUUGAAUAUAGAUUAUAAAGCACUCUAAACUUCUUCAUCCAUCCGCAUGCAUGGAUCUCAAAAUGCCAUUGCAUGAUCCAACGGUGGAUUCAUCUGAAGAAAGGGAAUCAUUCUUUCAUGUGAAAUAUGCAACCCCUGUCCAGACUUAUUUCAUAAUUAUCAUCUUCCCAUGGAAUGGUUGAAAUCAACUUUAAUGGGUCGAUAAUGGAGACUAAGAUAUGUGUUGAAUUCAUAAUCCAGGAUCUAUUAUAGAUGGCUGAUGCAUGUGGGAGCUCAUAACCUUCUUCCACAUCAUACCUAGCUUAUAAACAUCUACCUACGUGAACUAAAAACAACUAUAAACGUUCAACCACAAGAUGCCUAGCUUAUAAUCUUCUUCUACAUCAUACCUGAUCCUAUCUUCAUGAACUAGGACUCAUCUUAAUGGUUAUAUCUUUUGUACCUGGAAAUUCGAGACUAUCUUUAAAGCAACUUGCACCUUCGCGGAGGGUAAUUGACUACAAAUGAGGAUUUCACAACAUUCUUCUUUUCACACUUUCUUUUAUCUAUUCUGGUAAAUGUUGAUAGUGUACACUGCACUUUUAUUAGAUCGCCCUCUUUUAAUUUUUUUUGGUAUACAUUGGAUCACCUUUACUAUACAAAAAUAUAUGUUUGUAGUAGUCUAUCAAUCAGCAAAUUAAGGACUCCGGAAUAAGUAAUUAAAUCUAUUAGUUUUACAUGGCAUUCCAUAUCAUAAUAAAAUUCAAGGAGUUCAUUUUAUUUAUUUAUUUGUUUAUUUGUUUGCUUGUUUGUUUAUUUAUUAUUUGUAAAUGCCCUCUCACCUUGGUAGUAAAGAUUCUUGAUAGCUUUACCUGAGACUAAGUUCAGAUCCACUUAAACCUACUCCUUUAAAAGUUCCUUUUCAAAACUGUAUCAUAUAACCAUCAAGUAGAAGGUGAUCUACUGAAAUCGUUAGCUAAAUAAUAGAUACUACUUUGUCAAGCUAACCAAAAAUCUAGUUCUCCAUGUGUUUUGAUAAGAAAAGCAGGGCUGUUCUGAUAUUGUUUUGGGAAAAACUAACAUGUCAAAAGCCGAAGACUAUUUUGUGACUACAACCCGAUCAACCGUCAAAAAAAAAAAAAGAAUCAUGACGGCAGGGCUUUACAAAAAUGGAGGGGAAAAGCUCAGAUUCAUGCCUAGUCAUCUAUUAGAUAUAAAUUUAGCAUGCAUCAAUUGCAUCAUCUAAAAAAGUUUCCGACGAGCGGAUUAAAGUUCGCAGCUAGGUCUACAGGCUGCUUGCAAGAUUUCAAUUUUAACUCCCACAUAACAGUAGAGCAUAAUAGAAAUAUCAUGUCAGAGCCAAGAAAUUCAAUAAAUUUUUUAGAAGUGAAUAUGCUGCAUAUUAUUACCAAUCCCAUCUGCAGCAAAACCUAGAAUCCAGCUUUGCUCGAGUAUCAACACAACCCAACCCUCCAUCUUAUGCAUGAUAGCACAGGGCUUCUGUACUUCAUAGCGACUGAUGCUCAGAUGAUAAUAAUGCCACACGGUUGAAAGAAAAUAGCAGCAAGGAUAUAUCCUGAAUGAUCGGUUUAGGGCAAAUUUAUACAGGUCCAGACCUUUUUCAUGGCAAUAUCAAUACAUCCUUAAAACAUUUGUCUAAUGUUUCCUCAUUGCAUAAACUACGCAGAAUAAGUGAUUCCCAGAAGCAAAACCAACCCCUACCAGCUACCUCAUACUCUGCGGAUAGAUGUCAAAUGCUCAGUGCAAAACCAUAAAAAAAAUAGGGUGAGGCCUCCCAUGUUUGGCUGACAGAGCACAUGCAGCAACACUAGCAGCAGAAGUCCUGUGAGGAAGGAGUGCAUGAAUUGACAGGAGAAUCAAACUGGUGCUUCAGGUGGCCGUGGCAUCAGGAGAUGGAACAGCUGCUUAAAAGGAUGGCAGGAGCCAGCUGUGCUUCCUGCCAUGCUCUAUAUAUGAUUGAAACUUUUCCUCGGCAUUGGGAAUGUCAAGAGCCAAGUCAUCAAGCCCAUCCCUCACCCUGCAAAACCCUUUUGUCAUUUGGUUGAUGGUGAUCAACCCUUCACUGAAACUCUCUUGCAGCAGAUCCAAAAUCCUAUCAUUCUUCUUUUCCAUUGCCAUAACUAAUGCUUUCUUUACGACUUCAUGGUUGAAAAAAGGCAUCCCCAGGUCACGGAUGCAUUGGCAUGCUUCCCCUACAUCACCACCAGUCUCAAACUCCUCCAAAAGCUUUGUUAUCUUGUCCUUUGCAUCUUCCACUGCCCAACCCGAGCCCCCACCCCAGCAUCUCAGAAGCCUCUCACCUGCAUGGCGAGCAGAAACAAGCGAGCGCGCCAUGCGAACAGUCUCGCUUCCACUACAAUUAGGUGGGAUCUUGCUGCUGAUCUCCUCCAGGUUUAACGGGGCCAGCACAUCAUCAAUUACAGCCCUAGCUAGAAACAGAGCUAGCUCAUUGGAGGCAUCUAAAAUGUCCAAUGCAGUAUCCUCUGCAGACUCAAGUAGCAUAAUAAAUCCAUUAACAAUAUCAUCCCUCGAAAAGAUUUCCAUACUUAGUGCAGAGAGCAGGACAGAUGCCAUUUCCUUUUCCCUGUUCUUUCGAUCCAUGGCAAGUGUGAUCAGUUUCUUGAUGAAGACAGGAUUAUACUCUGGGGUGGCAAGGUCUUCAAGGCUUCGAAUGAGUUCAGGUAUGUCAUCUGAGAGAAAGUAUUCAUGUAUUAUUGUCACCACUUCUUCCUUAUACUUUCUUAACUUCUUGUUUUCUUCAUCUCUGCCUUCAACAUCUGCAUUAGCCAACUUCAGGAAGGAAGGGUCGAGCCAUCCUUCAGAAAUUGCUCUCGGUACUAGCAACUGGAACAGGGAUUUUGCAGAGGGAAUAUCAAGAGAAAGGUCAUCGAGACUCUCGGCAAGCCGUGAGAAACCCUUGGUCGUCUGACUAGAACUAAUUAAACAUUCUUCUGCUGCUUCUUUUAAAAGCUUUAAAAUAAGAGGCUCCGAUGUGGGGAUCUCCAUAGCAAGUAUCAAAGCUCGUUUUACAACCUCAUGGUGGAAGAAUGAAACCCCCAACUCCCUUAUGCACCUACAGGCCUCUGCUGUAUCUCCACUCUCAAUAUAUUCCCUCAACAAAUCUGCGAUCUUCCUUUUCACCUCUUCAACAGUGAAGUGAGUACUACCACCCCAACGUCGCUCAACCAACUCUGCAUGGUGGGGUGCUGAAAGAUAGCUCUUUUCAGCAGUCUGGAUAACUUGAAAUCCUUUGGAAGACUCAGCAAGCGUUCUCUUCACCCUAGUGAGGAAGGCAGGAGGUAGGAUAUCAUCAACAACUGCACGGGCAAUGAACAAGGCAAGUACAUCGACAGCAUCAAGUAUGUCGAGUGCCAGAUCGUCAACAGACUCGAGAAGCAUGACAAACCCUUGGCUGAUUUGAGCUGAACUGAUGACAUCAACAUAUAGAGCAGACAACAGAACUGAUGCCAUUUCUUUUUCUUUGUCAUGCCGGUCCAUUGCCAUGGAGACAAGUUUCUUAACAAAGUAGUAAUGGUACUCAUCAGAACCAAGAUCUUUAAGAUCGGAGGAAGCCAACUCCACAUCACCAGUGGUGAAAUACUCUUCAAUGAUUGUCAGUACAGACCUCUUGUAGUCAUCGAAAGGGGUUGACACUGUGGCACCAACUAACUCAUAUGGCUCCUAGCAUCACAAAUAAUUACAAUAAUUAAACGCAUAAUUCAUAUAUGACUGAUCCACAAGUGAAUGUAUGAGAAUAUUUCACUACAUUAAAUUUUUCUAGAGCAAGAGAAAGGGUUACUGAAAAAAGGAGUAACCCAAGCAUGCACACAACCCCACGUGCAAACACACACACACACACACAGAGAGAGGAGAAAAAGAGAGGAGGGGGGGGGGGGACCAUACCUCACCACUGUCAUAAUUUGGAUCAUUACGAUCAAGGCAUGAAUUAGAAUCAGUAUCGAGCAGUUUGCCCCAUGUGCCUUUACCACCAGCACCAUCUGCAACCACAAAAUUAGCGAAAGCAUGUUAGAAAAGUAGGCAGAAGCUGAUGCAGCGUUGCUGGUAUAUAAAAAUAGAAAGCUUCUAAGGCCAUCUAUGAUAGAUAAUAUUACAAACUCUGCUGUCAAUCUGGAAACAAACAGAAAAGAAAAGACAUUGUAGCAAUAUGGUGGAAACAGGAUAAUGGUUAGUGACUAAAUUGAAUAAUCACAAUGUAAUGCAUAGCUGAAUUUGCAACAUUCUUGGGGAUUAACAGUCAAAAAUUCCCAAAUCUUUCAUUGAAAAUAGACCAUCUUGGUUAGGCUGCCAAUGGAGCCAGUCUCAAUCAUUUCUACAUGCCACAGCCAUCAAUAAGCAUCUCCUAAUACGGCCAGUGCAUAGUGAUGAUAGUGUUGGUUCACACACAGAAUUAGUAAGUCCUAGCGCAUAAGUCUCAGUUCUAAGGUCAAGCUUCAUUCAAAACAACAGGUGAGUGCCUGGAUGCAGUCCAUGCAAACACACAAAUGAAUGCACAUUCAUUCAACACCAUGGAAACGACAAUUUAGAGGCUCUAGAAUAAACUGAUCCUAACAAUUCCUCCCAGAAAAAUACGUCCAUAACCAUGGAGAAGCACAUAAUUCAAAGGAUUUGCUAAAAGGUAACAUGUACUACUCAAAAGCACUGAAUUUCUUUUCCGAUGCAAAAAAUACCAAUGAAUGGCAUUUCCAGAUAAAUUAUUCCUUCAUAUUGUGAUCAUUUUUUAAUUAAUAAUAUUGAAUAUUUUCCAAGAAAACCAUUGGAUAUAUCGACAUGAUUCUGUUUUCCUAGAUGAUUCUAGUUUUCUCUAUCCGAGUGAAGCAGGCCAUACAUGAUUCCUGAGACCAGAUCCUACAACUGAAUCAUCCUCACAAUACAAGUUAUCCAGUGCCAAAUUGAAGCAAUUAGAAUAGCAAAAGAAAAGAAAAGAAAAAAAAAAGAACAAGAACCUGCCCUCAAAAUAAGUGAAAUUAUUCAUCAAUCUAGUUAUAAUGUUCAUUGACAAGAGAAAAUAUGAGAAUCUAAAGGGCAUGUGAAAAAGGCAUUUUAGUGUGAGAAAAUUUGUGGCAGAGGAUCUGAAUAAGCAACUGAGUAGGUGGUCUUAAAAAAAAAAGGAGAGAGAACAGGAUGGCUUGAGUGUCCUCAAAUAAAUCACUUGGACUGGAUGGUUUUAGCAUGAAGAUCCAUAAACUUUUCAUAGGUAACUAAAACAUGUUCUGCAAAACUAUAAACUCAUCGAGUACCAUUUUACGGUAAGUUGCUGAUUAUUGAGAAGAGCAGAACCACAACCAAAUAUAUUAACUUGUUGGUGACUGGGUCAAUUUGCUGAAGAAGCUGUUUUUGAGAAUAUCAUGUUUGGCUUGAUCUUUGACUCCAUAAGUUUUCUCAAUAAAUGAGCUGAGCUUGAGAACUGCCUAGCUUGCUCGUGUUUGGCUUGAUUAAGCUCAAAAUACACAUGCCUUAUGAAAAGUGAACAGAUGCUUUGGGGCAUUUGUUAAGAAUAGUGACCUCAAUUUCAUAUAUUAUAUGCCAAUACUGAUAGAAAGUUUAAAGCAUUUAAGGAAGUAUACUACCUAAAUUUACUGCAAAACCCCAAAUUCCUAAUAUUAGCUAUUUCAAUAUCCCAUUCAUGUUUACCAAAAUAAAUCUGAACCACUCGUAUGGUGGCAAAAGAAGAAGUGCAAAUGCAAUUACUGGAACUGGUAGAUUGCUGGAAAUUUUAAAGGACAAAUUAUGUGAAUUUAUUUAGUACCUAAAAAAUUUUGACCAAUUGACCCUAGGUGCCCAAUGCAAACAAUCAAUAUCAUUAAUUAAUAGACAGGAAUCACACAAAUUGAUACCAGAUAUGUACAUGUGUGAACAUGCGAAGAUUGAGUCAGCGAGCAAGUGAACGUGUUUGUGUGUGUGUGCAUGAGUGUCCGUGUGUGUGUGUGUGUGUGAGAGAGAGAGAGAGAAAGAUGACCUAUAAUACUAAUGCCGCAACUGAGGCAUCAAUUCUUUUGUUGCAACAUAAAUCCUAACGAUACAUAAAAGCAGCUAUAUUUCCCAACUUAUCAAUUCCCAUAUCACACCUAAUUAGAUUUCUCUCUUAUGUAUAAAUAAGGGAUUCCAUGUUGUUGGAUUUGGUAAGGAGCCAAGGGUGAAAUUCUCUUCAAGUUGGGAUUUCUAUGAACCUAUGCAUAAUAAAAGCUGUUCAAGAUUAAGAACGUAAUAUAGCAAAUAAAUCUUAAACAAUUUCAUGAAGAAGUCAUAUUAGUACUUAAUCUAUGCUUAAAUAUUUUUGAGACUUAUCCUUCAUCUUGAAAUCUGCAGCAGCCACAGAUAUUUGCACGUGCAUUAUAAGUUUUUAACAUGAUGGAUAAUCUAAAUCGAAAAUCCACACCAUUAAACAUGACCUUCAAUCAAAACAUUGUAUAGUGUCACUAAUUGUUCACUUCGUAACCUUUUGAUGCAUAAGCAGGAAUUCUCUAAACCAAUAUAAGAUUGGACUGCAGGCAUUACAAAUAUUGUAUGUCAAGUUUAAUGUGUGGAUUUCCAUUUCAGAAGUUCAAUCGCUGAUUCUGCACAUGCUGAUAAAAUAAAGGCUCCAAUUCUACUACUAACACUCCCCACCUCCAACCUCCCAAAGACACAAACACAUAAUUUAAUAACAAAAUGCACUACUUAGAUUUGUUUAAAUGAUAUCAAGAUCAAUUUAAUGAAUGAAGUAUAAAAAUCUCAGCUAUGACAAUCUGAACAGCAUAUUAAAUCACACAAAAUUCUCUACAAACCUCAGGUUUUCACGAAUCCCUAGAACAAACUGUUUUUAAAUAUAUUAGGUUGGCACAUGAUUACCAGAGCCAAGUUCGAACAAUCUUGGGCAUUAGUUGACUUAGCUUGGCCCACUUCCCCUUUCUUCAGAUGCACAACUAACAUCAUUACUCAUUUUGGUCUAUGAUGUUUAUUUCAAUAAGAUAAUGUGGACCGGCCAUGUAAUUUGUUGGGACAGAUAUGAUUGCCUAUUCCAUUUUUGUGUCCUUGCCCAUCGACUCCCCAAAACUGUGAACAAACUUGUUAUCUCUCCACAUCCUUCAGCCCUCUUGUAUUUAUUAGCAAUAGAGAUAAUAAAGAACCAGAUGAUAUGUUAGUUCUUGAUGGAGUAGAAUAAUGUUACAUAUGGGGCCUCCAGUAGAUACUAGAAACUCAAGUCCAUAAACUUUAAUUAUCAAACUGAGUUCUAGAAGAACAUAGGGGAUUACACCCAAAGGACCCACAGGAAAUUGAUGAUUGUAUUGUCGCUUCCUUAGUCCAACUCGUUUGAGUAGCUAAUACAUAUCUGGCAAUCUAACAUGCCCCUAAACCUGCUAAAGCACCCAGGUUUUUCUUAGAUUACAAAGUGUUCUACAACUAGACAUGAGGAACAAUUUUACCCAGGGAAUACGCUCCACAGGAAUCCCUAGUAUUCUCAACAGUGUGCAACAACAUAAGAUUGGUAUUAACUUGAGAUACCACAACAUUGAAUAAGCAUGCUGUAAUCAUAUAGCCUCCAUGUGACAACUAGUUAAACUGUUAGCAGAUGUUUUAAAGGAACUUCUAUUAGGUGUUUCAGCUAAACCUUGGCAUUAAAGAAUACCUUCACAGAUUAUACUUAGAAAAUGGUACAAGAUUUUCUUGUCAUGGUAAUAUAUACUCUUACAAUUUUGAUGGUAGCCCUUUGAUAGGUUUCUUGUUACUGGGAUCAGGCACGAGGGUCUACACCUAGAUAGAUUAAACACCCACCUUGGGAAGCUAAAGAAUGGAUGAUGGCAAUGCUUCAUAGGAUAGACCAAGGCAUUAUAGGACAGUCUUCCACAAGAUUUUUAGAGCAUCAUAAACAAGGUCAUCAAAAACCUACAAAAAUUUGCAGCAUGUACAUCAUUUCAAAACACAGCAUAUCAAAAGCCUCCUUUUGCAUGUAUCAGCAAGAGAUGCAUAACAAGGCAAAGGCAUCAUACAAGAAGCUAGUCAUAGAUCUUAUAAUUAGAACACACACAGAGAGAGAAAGAGAGAAAGCAUAGAUGUGAGAAAAGAAAAAUAUGAGAAGACAGAACAAAGAGUAGGAAAAAGAGACAGAUGUUACAUCUAGACAAUGCAUGUUGCCCCCAAUGCAUGACGCUUUUCUGCUUUUAUCAACACCCCAGCCACUAGAAAAUAUAUGAAUACUUGAAACGAUAGAAGCAAGGAGCUGAUCCAAUCCUAUCUGACCAUUAAAUCUGGGAUUUCAUCAACAUAUAUGAUCUGCUAAUAACCUUCAAACAAAUAAUAUUACAAAUAUUAUGCAUGCACUUCUCAACAUUCUGACAGAAGGUGCUCACUCAGCUUUACCUCGAGAAAAAUGCACUGUUAUGAUCUCACUAACCCAGCAAUGCCAAAAGGGAGCCAUUUAACACCUAAGAGUAUAAUUGGUACGCUCGAUAUAGUUGUCAAAAGUUGCUUGCAAGAAACCUAUUAAAUUUUCAUUCCUCCUCUAGAUAUCAGUAAUCAUGACCUUAACCAGAUUGAAUUUGUUGCCAACUGCCUUUCCCUAAAUCCCUGAAGAACCCCAAGCAGGAAAUUGCUCACUUCUUUAUCCGAAAUAACCCAGCUGUAUUCCAUUCCAAUCAGUCAAAGAGUAAGCAAGAAGGAACAUUCAAGAAAAAUUCAAUAAUCUAAAGUCUAAACAAACAAGACCUCACAAUCCUAAAUGUACUGAAAUGAUGGAGAAGAAAAUAACUUUCCCUGAAUUUUUAACAACAUAACAAAACUGUCCUCUAGCAAAUCAAGAUAAUUUUAAAGUCGCAGAAGCUCUUUAAGUAAGGAUACCGGCAGUUAGGGGAAAGAACAACUUGUUCCCCCCAAACGAGAGAGAGAGAGAGAGAGAAAGAGAGAAAGAGAGAGAGAGAAUGUGGCAGUAAAUGAGUUGACUCUAGGUCCUGAACUUACUCAGAUUUUAUCUAGUGAUCAAAUCUAAUGGUAAUAAUGAUGGUAAUUAGUAGGAUUUAUGAAUUGCAACCAAAAACGCCCAACACAAUAACAUGCCGGUGCUUCAUAAGAUUUUUUUUUCAUUUACCUGAAUGUGUGUAUCUUUGCAUAAUAGGAGUUAUUCUAGGUCCUGAGCUUACUAAGAUUUUAUCUAGUGAUCACAUCUAAUGGUGCUCAUAAUGAUGGUAAUUAGUCAGGGUACUCAUAAUGAUGGUAAUUAGUUGGGUUUGUGAAUUGCAACCAAAAAAACAUGCAACAUAGUAGCAACCAGUGCUUUAUAAUAUAUAUUUCUAAUUUCCAUGCAUACUUGCAUUAUGCAUAACUAAUAGGCGAAAAAAAUAACCCUCUGCACUUUGUAUGGAAUUGCAAAUACCCCUUGCAUGUCUAAUUGUUGUAAUGUCCACUUUGCAUUUUUCAUAUUAUUGCAAUGUAGCCCACCCUCCUUCCAAUUCAGGUUAGGGCUCGCCAGAGGUACCUACAUAGCAAGUAAUGUAAAGUAAUUGUCCGAGGUGGACUCUUUUUUCUCUCUGAGAAAACAGAAUCCCAUGUGGACCCACAUUAUACAAAAAUAUCACCAUACCACCUCUCUUCCUUUCACCACUUCCACCAACCUUAGAGAGAGUAAGCGAGAGAUAUAGCUUCCUCUUUCGACACCUUCAGCAAUGACGACGAGGAGGUAGUAAGGGGAUCCACCUGCCCUUCGACAAUGAUGGCUACCUCGGUUAUGACUCCCACCUCUCAUUGUAGUGCUUCGACGCCUACUCCUUCACUAUCGAUGAGGACUCCAAGGACCCAGCCAACAAUUCCCUCGCCAAAGCCUUCGACACAGGUGGGGCUUGAAGCGGCAGAGAUAACGAUCUCCCCAUCUACCAUGCCUCCGGUAAUGAUAGCUUUCCUCGCUCCCCAAAGUGCUUCGGCUACCGCCUCCUCGAUCCAAACCUGAACUUCGGCUCCUUGUCUUCCUCCUCGAUGCCGGAAUCCAACAUGAAGGCCUAUAACGUGGCAGAUCAUGGCAAGGUCUUUGCUACCAACAGCUUGAUCCUAUCGCCCCAAAUGAGAUGCAGUCGAAGGAGGGGUUUAUCCCACUGGAAAGGCGAUGGUGAGGCCUUUUUUCCAUGGUUCUGCUUUUUUGAUGCUCUCUUUCUUUGAUACUUUUGAAUCGUGUUGAUUUGUCUAGACAUAUAGUUCUUGGUUAUAUUUGUUUUGGUGAUUUGGUCCAAGAUUUGAGUUGAUAUUGCUUAGAUCUAUGGUUUUCUGUUCAUUAUUUUGUAGUAAGAAACCUAAGAAGUUGGUGAGUUGCCUUCUGAUGCUUUUGCAAUCCGAGGUUUUGGAGUUGAAACUCUUUCAAGUUUUUGACUUUUGCGUCUCUUGGAUUUAGGUUCAUGGCGGAGGAGGUGGAGGUGGCGGGUGUAGAGAUAGGCUCGACAGAGGAGGCAGUUCAUGGCAGCAAUCGGUGGUGAGAGUGAUGGAAGAGUUACUAGGGUCUGGCACUUGGACUCAACUGAGUCCAUGUCAGGUUCCUUCUUCUUGGAAAAGGGAACAAGUCCACUUCAAACAUACCACAUAGGCACCUCCAACGAGCCCUGAUCCCAACUGGAAGGAAGGUGGGCCACAUUGCAUCAAUAUGAAAAAUGAUGGAUUGACAUUACAGGGAGUAGACAUGCAGGGGGAUAUUUGUAAUUCUAUACAAAAUGCAGGGAGGUAUUUACAAUUCUAUAUAAAAUGCAAGGGGUUAUUCUUUUUUAGCCUAACUGUUAAGAUAAGUUGUUUACUUUACUACAAGUGCUGAGCACUAGGAUGGGAAAAGUUUUCCCCUUUUUCCCCGAUGGAAUGUAUUAUCAUGGUAUUGCCUCCAAAUUGGCUUCAAGUGCUAAGGAGUGUCCAAAUGUCCAAGUGCCUGCAUAUACAUGCACAUCCAGAUCUACUUGACAAGCUCUCUAGUGAGAGAUUCAAAAGGCCGGUACAUGGUUGAACAUAGACAAAAACUAAUAUGUCAAGAUGCCAUCAAACAAAAAGUAUAAAUCAGGCUGAAACUAUGACCCAGCAAGAUCAUGUGAUCAUUGCAUUUGAAAACAAAAAAAAAGGCUCCUCUGCCUAAGGUCAAAAUUAACAUCAGAUGGUGGAAACAAAAAGUAAAGUGUACAGGCUGUCAGUAUGGUGAGGCACUUGCCUCAAACAGAAAAUUCAUAAGCUUAUGAGUUUUCCUUGAUAAAAUAGAAAUAUUUAGAAAAUGAGAAAAUCAUGUAUAAAUAAAAGAUAAGGGAUUUAGCAUUGUAUAUGAAUCUCAUACUGCACCAAAUUUGUAAGCAUUUCUUAUUCCUAAGAUUCCAAAUAUUAAGCAAUUACAGUGUUGAUUGUUGAACCUCGUAUCAAUCCAACACGCUUCAAUAUAUAUGUGAAAGACAACAUAGCCUUUAAUAUAGAAGCUGGGAAUUUGGUCAUCUCCCAAGCAUGCCAAAAGAACAAGUAGAAUAUUCAUCCCUCCAUUCCACUGCUUGCAUUUAACCAUCAACAUGGUAUGUGUAUGUCUUCCACAAAAGCAUAUAAAAAGGUGCAAGGUAUGUACCAGAAAAUUAGGUACUUUAAAUGGUUCAUAUACUCACUUAGUAUGGAGCUCUCAGACAAGUCUCAUUGCGCUUCUUGAAUGCUUUGUAUUAGCCAUAAAAACAGUCAAAAUCAAAUGAAUAUGCAUUACAGAGAAGACAUAUAAGAUGCAAUGUUUUGCAUGUCACAUGGGCCUUUUUAUGUGGUUCAUAUAGCUGGCCUCACAUAGUCUCUCUCUCAUAUGAGCCAUCAUGGUCUUUUAAUUCAAGGUUUGAAAUAUCAAGACAAGCACAUAACAGUCACUCCAUAGUAUGAUAUGUACCAUGGUAUUAUACCAAUAUAGGGUACCAGCAGGAACCUUAUCACUAUGGGUAAUACGGGUCAGUGAGUGGUAAUGUGCCAAACUGUACACACCCAUACCAACUGGUACCAUAGGUUGGCUCAUUUUGAAACAUAAGAUGGGAUGAACCUUAUACAAGAUUUCUUAAGCUGAAAAAAACUUAACAAAGACCUAGUAAAUCUUUUCAAGAAGUUCAAACUGGAAAAAAAUUCUAGUAAUUCCUGACUUAGAACACAUGUCAAAGCACAUAAAUCCAAAGAAAAUGCUCGUGUUGGUUUCUUGUCACCAUGAUAGUAAGUUUGUAGGACCUAAAGAUAGCCAGAUAAUGAUGUUCCAUACUUGAGCCCAUUACCAUUAACAUCAUACAAAGGAAUAGAAGGAACAUGUCUUCUUUACAUUGAUUGUUGGAAUAAUUAAGCCUAAGAUCUGUAUCUUUUUCCAUAGAUGAGCAACAACAUAUAAGUGACAUGCCUCAUAUAAGUUGGUCCAUGGCAUUGUCUCUUAUAGCCCUCACACAAACCUUGAAACACUAUCGUUAGAAGCUCUUCCUGAGGAUAAGGCUACAGUCCUCAAAUAAGCUAAUUAAAACUAAAGUUUAUUUUAUGCAUGAGAUUCUCAUGAAUGCAAAAACAACUAAGGUCUUGGAUGUGUUAAAAACCAUAGGUACAAUAGCUGUUCCACUCACCAUCCCAGAUCCCAAAUAUCAACUUGAAUAGCCAUAAAGCCUUCUAUAAGUUUAAUUUAUACCCAGAACAAGAGUUUGUCCAAGCUAUAUUGUCACAUCAACAAUUUUCUUCCCCAACAAACUAUGCAGAGUUAAUCAUUUGACAUGCUUCAGAUUACAUCCAGGCAUUACGAUCGCAUCUCGUAUGUGUUCUUUCACAUAAAAAAAAAGACAAAUCCACAACUAAAGUAUAUUGCAAUCAAAAAAAAAAAAAUAGAUUGCUGAAUGUUUAAUAAAUUUUUGCAUCCUAAUAAUUAUCUUUUUACCAUAUGAUUUUCCAGACUGCUACGCCAUAACUAAAAAAAAAAAGGAACACAAGCUCAAAUGUGUUUUUCUAAUACAUUAUUUGCUUAUUAAAUUUAAGCUGUAGGGUGUUGUUGUAUGCAAAGUAAAACCAAAUAAGUCAGAAGUUCUAGUUCUUAACGACAGAUCCACUUAUGCAAUUCAAACAACUUUAUUUCUUACAGAUAAGAGCACUAGUAACAACAUUUAUAAUUUACUAGAAAUAUAAGAACGGAAACUGAAAGUACACUGAGAAUCAGUUCUAAAGUUCCCUAAUUUAUCUUAAUUAAAAACUUAUAAAGCGCAAAACAUACUAGAUCAAAAGCAAUCUUCAUGAUGGUAUGAUCCACAAUUUUAAAAUAAACGCGAGUUUUGUUUUUUAAAAAAAGAAAGAAAAAAAAAUGUCACCCACCCUUCUUCACGCGCACUAGUUUCCCCGAGUGCGACCGUCUCACAUGCCUCAGGCCAGGAGUAGCCUUCCCACCAGCCCCGCCCUUGUUGUGGUGUUCCGAAAACAAUAAAGAAGUCGGCGAUCUCGGCGACGAGGACAGCACCUCCGCAUUCUGAGCCGCUAUCUUCAGCACCUCCCUCUGCUCAUCCGUCAAGAAACCCUCCUUCUUCGGCGACGCCAUCUCCCACCUCCCCUACCCCACUUAACCUGUAAUCAAACCCCAGAUUACCACCAUAUCUUCGAUUAGCAUCCCAAACUCAUCUCAAAUCAAGACAUUUGAUCAAGAAACUAUUAGACAACAGUGGAAAGUAGAAAUGGAUGCUUCAAAGAAGCCAUACCUCUGGAAGCAGAAAGCAGCACGAGAAUGGAACUUGAACCGGAGAAAAACCCCAAAUCCGGAGGCUAAUCCACCAUUAAAAUCACCAACACCGCCCUUCCCCAAAACGAUCAAGUCUUGGCCCGGAGGAUCUCGAGACAAGACCGGCUGUGAGGGUGGGAAGGGGAGAGAAACCCUAGAAAGCAGAACACUAUUGAUCGAGCAAGCGAGCGAUCGCCUUUUUUCUCGAUAUCUCGAAGCCUCUCUUUUGCCGGCUUAGAUCUUUGCCUUCCUCCCUGGGGUCGAAUUGGAUUGAGAUGAGAGAAGCAAGAGAGAGGCUUUUAUAGGGAGGCGCUUUCGGUUUCGAGGAUACGUCGGGCGAGGGCUUGUCUUGUCGAGUACAUCCCUAUAUCCUGUUUACACGUGGCCGGUCCCGUUCUCGGCCGGCCUAGCGCGGAAAUUAGGGUUUCUUGGCACCGCCUCUCUGAGCUGCUGCCCUGAUGGCAUGUUUGAUCCUUCCAAGUAUGGCUGAAAAAUGAUAAUAAUUGGAUAACAAUUUUGGAGCAGUGGUUUACAUGGACUUUCGUUCGAAAAGGACAGAUUUAUCUUAUUCACAUGAAUCUACCAUUUCAUCGCGUAAUAGCUACUUCAAGAACUAUAUGGAUAAGUUCGAAAUGCUUUGAGAUCUAUGAUCGUCGUUGUGAAAGAAGAUCAAUUAUUCUUUUGUAUAAAAGUUGCGACAUGGAUCGUUUAGUCUAUGUAACAAUGCAACUUUCGUCAAGAUAAUCUAGGUGAAAAGAUUGCAAUCGAUCUGCAUCUCUAAUACAACUACCAACAAACUUUAUCUUUAGUAUAGAACCUUUUAUCAAGUGAUAUUUAGAUGAGGUAAUCAUCAUAAUUUGCAUUUGUUCUAAAUGAGAGUGCUCUAAUACAAGUUAACAACGCUAAUAUUUGAAAAGAGUUCAAUAGACUUGUGUUGCUUCUUGGUGUUAAAACAUGGUUAAAUGACUAUCAAUAAAAAGUACAUUCAUUCUCAAUCUCUCUACUAUCAAUAAAAAGUCUAAUUGCAUAGUUGCCUCCCACCUUAGCAUGCAGCCUACCCAUUCAUGCCAUUGAUUAUUUGGUCCCUCGAGUUAUUUUGUUAAAAAGAAAUUAUGGCGGUUAUAUUACUGCACAUAAUUAUUAUGUUUCUUUCUUAACAAAUAGUUAGCAACAUAUUUCAAAAUUACUUGUCAGCUAACUCGUUUGAUAACAAUACUUGUAGGCCUAUAAAUAGGUUGAAGGAUAACUCAUUGGUUAUUUUGAUUACUUUAUCAUAUUUAGCAAUGCUUACAAUCAACUUUUCAUUCUUAAAUUUCCGGCGAACAUCGGUCCAUAUGUAGUUAAUUUUAUAUUUCAUACUUUUGGACAACUCAUUAUCUUAGUAUUUGUAAUAGUUUUUGCUCAAAGGAAGUAUGCCAUAAGAUUUCUUGCAAAACCGCUCAAAACUAACUGUCCAAGAGAUAUUUCGGCGAAUAAGUAAUAAUUUUUAUAUUUUUUGAAUCAAAUAUUAGCAACAUCUCUCUUGUAACAAAAGCAAAGUGAAGCUUUCUAGGUAUUAUGGUUAAAAAAUAUCUAUUUUAUAAAUUUUGAGUAACAAACCCAAGCGUGUUUGUUGAAUGGACCAAAACAAAAGAAGAUUGUUGGCAAAAUAGGGUACAAAGUUUAUACGAUUUCCAACUAAUGAUGUGGAUGUUACAAAAUAAAUAUAUUGCCUUUAUUAUAUAUGACGUACAUAAUAGCUAUAAUUAUCAUGCGUAUAUAAUUAAUAUAUAUAUAUAUAUAAAAUAUCAUAUAGUAUUAGCUUAUUAUAUAGCAUAUGAAUAUUAUAUAUUAUAUAUAAGAUAUAUGAUAUGUAAUAUAUUAUUAUUAUUAUUGUUAUUAAAUAACAAGGGGCCUCAUUGAGUUGGGUUAAGGAUUAGUUUUGAGUUGUAAGCAAGUUGAUACAAUCUUACUAAUAGGUUUAACAUAUAUAUUGACCAUGUAGUCAUAUAAAACUUGUUGAAACAAACAAAGGAAUGGAAUGUGCCUCUUCCUUUCCAUUGCAUUCCUGCAUUACCCAAAUGACGAUAAGCAUUUGGUUCCUCGAUUUCUAUUCCUAUUCUACUUCGAUUUCAAUUCUAAUUCUUUUCCAUUCAUGUCAACAAAAUGUAGUGAAGUCUUCAUAUAAAUAUACUUUAUAUCAGUUUGAAUGGAGAGUGUGUAUGCAACUAAUGCAUUUAUUUGUUACAAAUUUUCUAGUUUGUACAUAUGGUUUAUGACUAACAUGACAAGGAAAGAUGUUAUAGCUUACCAAAGCCUAUCAGAUUGCAAUAUCACUUAAAUUGGUUUAAAUGAAUAGAAAUUUCUCCCAAAUCCUCUUCAUAUCACAACAUUGUUGAUGUAGCUCUACUAACAUCAGAUGUCAAAGAUAGCUGUAGACAACCAUCGAGAGCUUGCUCAAAUGGUAUCACCUUUUGCCUCUCGCACCAAAAUUAUGAGGUUUGAUUCUAGCACAAGUUAGUUCUGAAAUAGGUAUAAAGUAGAACAUGUUGCUUACUAGAUUGACAUCUUUGAAAAAUGCCUACUCUUGUCCUAUACCUCUCUCCAACGAAGAAACAAGCAAUGUUUAAACCAACACACCGCAAAUAGACAAUCCUAAAAGUUCAAGAUUCGUAGCCCCAAACUGCGCCACUCCUAAAUACAUUCAAGUAAUUAUUAAAUCUAAUCUUUAAGGUUGUUUUUUUAAGAGAUUACAGUUGUGACAUGUCAUAUUCUGCACCUAGGUACAUAAAAUAUACAUUCACACCAUAAAUUUUCCAUAUCAACUUUUGUUAUUCCUAAAAGCUUAGUAGGAAAUGUACAACAGAUGGAACAUGCAGCUAAACAGCCUGGAAUGAUCUCAGCACUCAGAUAUUUAACAAUUUUAAAAAAAAAUAGACAAGGGUACUCAAAGAUUCGGACCUUUGGGGAAUCCAAAAUGGCCGAUCCCCCAACGGCCCUUUGGGCGCCCCGGGCUGACGUAGGACCUCCCCUGUUUCCCAAUCAUAAAGCGACAUGCGUCACUCAUCCAGUCGCUCGCUCAGCUCCGCCUUUGACCAACAACAACCCGUCAAACCGCGAGCCCGCAACGGUUUUUCCUCUUCUGCCUCUCCUCCCCCCGCUCUCUCUGUCCCCUAUAGGAAACAAUACCCGCCCCCGGAAACCUCGCCCCCGGUUUUAUAGAACCGCCAAGGGCAAGAUUGGCAUUUAUUCUGAGUUCAAUCGGGAGAAAAACCGGUUGAGAUAGUCGUGGGGAAAAUUCGGGGUAAAGGUAGUGGGGGUGUUGGAUGUGGGUUUAGGGUUAAUUAUUUAUUAGGUUUUUUUUUGGGGGGGUUUUCGCUUACCGCUUCUUUCCCGUCCGAACGGCGGAGAUCCCGGGCCGUAUAAAACGGCCGAGCUUCCUUCGCUUCGUCCCCUUUUCCUUCUAUCUCUCUCGUGUCCAUGGAGGUGUGAAGGCGUUGGGGUGGUGGCUAGGGCUUUUAUUCUUUGGCGAAAUCGUGGGUGAAGGGAGGAGCAAAUGGCGGCAUUGGAGGGUCUGGAUACGUUCUUGGCGGCGGCGAGCAGAGCUUGUUGCAGUCCUUUUGCCAUCUUCAUCCAGAUCCAGGUACAUUGGUACUCCGAGGCCGCUCGAUCUCUUUCGUUUUCUUUUCUUCGUCCGCUUGGUUUAGGCUCCUGGAUCUCAGUAGUUGGUGUUGCUGCUUGGAUUUUUUUUGUUUUGCUCUGAUGGUAGCUUUAUGUUAUGUUUAAUUUUUUUUAUUGAUAGUAAUGUGGUUUGGAUGCAAAAACGACCUAGCUUUUUAUUUCCUCGUGUUUCUGGUUUUGGUUGGCUUAUAUUUUAGGAGUAUUGGAUUGAUCGGAUGUUGAUCUUUGUUUCUGACUCUUUGGUCCUGACCUAUGUUUGUUGUUUCUAAAAUAGAUUGGCCUAAAUCACCUUUUUGUUUUAAAAAAAAUCUGUUUGUUUAGUUCCGUUGUAAGAUUGUUCGCUUGCGAAAUUGUGUGAUCAAAUUCUUCUUUAUGCUCCGCUCCAUGUUACUGGUAUAUUGAGUUUCGGUAUUAAGGACUUUGUGUACCUAACAUCUCAUAGGUAUGAUCCAGUGGCGAUAGACCAAGGCAUGGUUGCACCUUUGGUAUGGCAUCAUGCCUUAGAGCCGCAGUUAUAUGGGGAACUCAAAAUAUAUGUAGCUAUGCUAGGAAAUGGUCCAUUCUAUGUAGAUCCAUUCCAUUGAUUAUAACUGGAUAUGCAUGGAUCUCAAAUUGAAUUCACUAAUUACAUUCUUGUCAAUGCAAAAGCAUUGGAUUGUUUAGGUAUGUAGCAUCAUUUUCUCUCUCUUUCUCGCUUAAAUGACUCAAUCAUCCAUAUUAAUUUGCAUCAAUAUUAUACCUUUUUGCUAUUGGUGGUCAUUAUAAAUUCUAUAUUUCUACACAUUCAAGACAAAAUACAAAUUAGUCGAAAAAUAUGAGAAUAGAUCAAGUCCCUAUAAGAUGAUGAAAGUAGCCUGAAGAUGCACAAGUAUCCAUUGUAUGAAAGUAUAAGAAAAUUCCACAAUAGGAGGUGAUAGAAAUUCAGAGCUCGUUCUGUUCUUUCUGAAAGGUAAUAUCUGUUAUAAUGAGGCUGUCCUUCCACAGAAAUGCUUCUUGAUAUUCUCUGCUUGCAAGCAGUUGCAAUACUUGAAGUGCCUUUCAUGUGAUUAGUGGCCAGUAUUUAGGUUAUAGUCUAAAUGUGCAUAGGAAAAUAUAGCUAUUUUCAUUUUCAGAGGCACUCUUCAUAAUUUGUGGAUUUAAAUGAGGCACUUUUAAGCAAAGCUAUUCUGAUUCAAAAGUUAAUUAUUUUGGAGAUUGACCAUGCUCCUGUUUAUGAUCUAUAUGUUCUCCUGAAUCUCCUCUAUUAAUGACUUGGUAAGGCUAAAAGAUUGCUUUCUUUUUUUUUUAUUAAAUACAUGCACUUUACAUUAUAAAGUUGUCUCGGCUGUGUUAUUCUCCAUGAGGCGGUAUUUGUCUCUGGCAAAACUUCGUGGCCUCCCGUUUCAACCAGAACUUUAUACUUAUGUAUGCAGUUUAUUUUUAACAAUCAAGAUUAUGUUAUCUUUAUUUGAUUUGGCAACUUACACAUGGUGAGUUUUAAAUGAUUAAAGAAUUCAUUUUCUUCUGCAUUCAUAGGGUUGUGCUAUCUGUUUAAUCCUUGCCAUCGGAUGGAGUUUUGCUGCCUAUGUCAGGUAUGCUGAUCCUUUAGGACAUGGUAAAAGUUAACUAUUAGCAUGUCCGCUAUAUUACAUUGCGAGACAUCUGACACUUGAUAGAAAUCAACCAAAGAUUCAAUAUAUUUCUUUUUGAUCUUUGUCAGGAGUAGAGUGAUACGGCACAUGAAGCACAACCUUGAAGGUGGAAAUAGUUUUGCAUUUAUGUGUGAUGAUAUCAAUGAACUUGAGCACUCUGCUCAGUUGAUCUUGCCUAGGGUGUCGGUUGUCAUGCCUUUGAAGGGCUUUGGAGAACACAAUUUGCAGAACUGGAGAAGUCAAGUGAGUUCUAAAUAAUUUUCCCAGAAGCUCUCUAGCUAGUAUCUGGGAACUUUUGCUUGUCGAUGGAAAAAAAGGAAAGGGAAAACACAUGCCAUUUGUUGCUUCUCCGAGUCCAUGCUCUUAGAUAAAUUUGAGAAAAAGUGUUCCACUCACGCUCGAAAAUUAGCAUGUCUGUGGUGCACAUACUCAUCUGCAUUCAUUGAGCCUCAUACUGUUUCAUAAAUGUCUUCAUACAGAUCACUUCUCUUUAUGGGGGCCCUUUGGAGUUUCUUUUUAUAGUUGAAAGCAUCGAUGAUCUGGCUUACCAUGCUGUAUCUAAGCUGAUUUCUGAAUUUAAGGUAUGGCACAACUCCUCCAACUAAGCCUUCUGCUCUUCAUACAAAUAAGAGCAGUUUAACACCACUGCUGUUUUAUUCAGUUGUCAACUAGCUUACCAUCUCUAUCUGCAAUCAUUGUUUUUUAAAAUCUCUAUGUGUUAUUCAUUUUUAAAGUUAAAACUUGGAUUUACUUAUCUUUCAAAAUUUAAGGGAUUUUGCAAGUGCAGAAGAACUUAGGCUUUUCCGAGUUUUUAAAAAAUUAUGACCCGAAAUUAUGAUUGGCAUGGGUAACAGGAGUGGCUUUUAAAACUUUUGUUCCGUAUUUAGUUUUGAUCUACUAAUACAUUUUCUUAUUUCUAUAAUCGGAGUCUGAUUGUGCUCUUCUUUGUUUAGUCCUACAAACAUACAUUACAUUACACUUCCCAUUAUAUAUAAUUGUCAACAUCUGCAUCGAAGUAUUAGCAUUAUGUUGCAUUGUUUUUUUUUAAACCUCAUUGAUGUUUCAUAUAAAUGACUUUCAAAUUAUAACGGUGUUUGGUUUUCUAUGUGUUUGAUCCUUUAUCUUGUUGCAUGUCCUGACAAUAUAACUCUUGAUCAUUUUCAGGACAGUGUUGAUGCAAAGAUUAUUGUAGCUGGGUUGUCAACAACAUGCAGUCAGAAAAUUCAUAAUCAGUUAGUAUGUAAAGUGUUUAUACCUUCUCUUAUUUGUAAAAAUAUUUGCCAAAUACUGCUUAAACAAGAUAUUGUUUUAUGUUAUACCUUUUUACUUUAAUUAACUUUCAAAGUUGCCAAGACUUCUCUUAAGGAUUUUGAUGGUGAAGUUUCAUUGGAGACUUAGAAUUUUGAUAAGUGUAUAUUUUGUAUAGGUACAUAUCAAAAUCUUUAGAUGAAAGAUUGGAGAAGAUAGAAGAAAUUAUUGAUGGGGAAUUUGUAAGGCAAAAGUUUCCUAUCAAGAUUGCGGCUAAUGUUACGAUAUGUCUUAAAUAUCAAUAAACAAAAGCUUAUAUGUUAUUCAACAUUGUAUAAAUUUUUUGAUUAUACGAAAUAAAAUGUUAUGCCCUGAGACUUGAACUUAUUUGAAUCCCAAGAUGUGAAUCAACUAUGGGUGCAAAAGUAAUGUUAAGAUUGCACGAACCAUAGGAUCCAAUUGAGCAGAACUAAAACUGUAUUACAAACCAUAAAUCUUAGAUGAAAUCCAACUUGAAAGAUUGAAUGUAACCUGUUAUACACAAUACAAUACCUUCGAAGAUAAAAACAAACCAAAGUCCCCUUUCAUUGAAAAGGUGUCACCACAGCUAUAGCUAGUCAUUUUGAAAAUAUUUUGUAAUAGUUGGAAUAACAACACAGCUCAAUUUGUAAUUUAUCAUGUUCAAUGGAGUUUAACUUCCACUAGAAAGAAAAUACAAACAUAACAUAUAAAUCCCUGUCAUACAGAAAUUGUUAUUGAAAAGUUAAGCCAAUGUUCAGAGUGAUUGUAAAAUGAAAUAGCAAAAUUGUAGAAUAGAGAUAUUGUGAUGAUCAAGGCGCAACUUCAUAAAGAGUUCAAAUGAUUGACAUGAGAAAACAUUUUCUAAUAAAGUUCCAUAUAUUUCCUCGAUGCUACAUGCAUCUUCAGUGCUAAUGCAAAUGGGUGCACAUGUCCUUACCGAUAACUCAGAUGAGGCAGCAUAACCUAAGAGCUGAGCAGUUGGUAAUUUAACUUUUUCUUCAGAAAUCAAGCUGCCCAAUAUCUAUUUACCUAUUUAAACACCACAUUUUCCCUUUCUAUUUUAGGUUGUCUUGAUUCUUUUAUUUUACUAAUAUUUACCUAUCAUCUUGAAAUAUAAUGUCCAAUAUAUAAGAAGCUUGAUUUCUGCAGGUUUUUGUGGAAAGAACUGCAGUUAUUUGAAAUUUGAAUUGUUGUAUGUUGUAUGUUUUGGGUUAAGAGUAGGGGAUAGAAAAACAAUUUGAAUUUAGGAUUUCUGCAGAGUGUUAUGUGGGUGCACAGGAUUUCUUUAAUUUAUUUUAACAGAACUAUUUUGGAUGAAUUGAUCUUUCAGUAGAAAAUAAAGAGAAUACAAGAUAAAGGGGUGGGUAACAGUUUAGCUAGGCUAAAGUAUGAUGGAAAAGUUCUUGUUUUCCUAAAGGAGGAGGAUAAAAUUUUAGGGUAAACAACUCGAGAGAGAGAUUAAUAUGCAGCCUUGUGCAACCAAAAUACCUAAACAUUACACCUUGGAUCGAAGGAGACACAAUCGCAAAGCAUGGAGUUUCACCACAGAAUGAGAAAACUACUUGGCUUUAUAUAUAACUGCUUGGAUUUAUAUAUGUAAACUGAAAUUUAUAUAGGACUUUUUAUCGCAUUCCAAACGCACAAAUGCAAAAAAUGGAAAGCACAUCUGUUUGUAUAGGGCUCAAGGAGGGGAUUCAAUGUAUGAGUUAAGGUUUAUUAGCUUUUUGUUGAAGAAUCUCACCUUCACUAGAAAGGAACAAAAUAAUGAAAGAAAGAAUUUACAUAAUAUACAUCCCCAUGAAAUUCCUGUGUAUAAAGAUAUUAGUUCUAACCAAAUCAGGAGCUUAAAACUGACUAUAAAAAUAGUCCCAAAAUACAAACAUACUAAAGGACAUUAAAAUAAGGAUAUCUAAACUCUAAAAUACUCUUGGUACAUGUUGACCUAAAAUUGGAAGAACUCAAUAAGUUGAAGGAGUGCUCCUACAUCACUAAGGAGUAAUUUGUAGUGCAUCAGGAGAUGAUGCUAAGAGCUACACUUAUGAACCAUACCAUGACAAUCCUUUGAAAUGAUAUUUUCUAAGAGCUGUUUCUUUGCUACUUAUCAUCAUAUGGAAGCUAGUCUCGUAAUAAAUUUUUUGCAAAUGAUAGUUGCAACUACUGUUUUGACUAUUGUAUUUUGAAUGCUUUAAGUUGUCUGUUCAUGCUUUUAAUUGUGUCAUACUAUCUCUAAUUCCAAAUGUGCCAACUAUUCUCCCAUCAGUUGAGUUUCUUUGUUCCAUCUAAAUAGUGUAGCAAAGCAUAGUGAUGCAAAAUAUAUGCUGUCACAUUAAUACAGGUUGGUGUUGAAAGGAUGCAUAAAGAAAGCAAGUAUGUUUUGUUUCUGGAUGAUGAUGUUAGGCUGCAUCCAGGGUCAAUUGGGGCCCUUACAAAAGAAAUGGAGAAGAACCCUGACGUACUUAUUUCUCUUGUUCCUUACUUCUGUUCUUAAUUUAUUAUUUACAUUAUUGUAAUUUGGAUCCUUCAAUGGCACCAUGUAGAUAUUUGCUUUCUUCGUUUCAUGGUACAGAUAUUUAUUCAAACUGGAUAUCCUCUUGAUUUGCCUUCUGGAAGCUUGGGGAGUUAUUGCAUAUAUGAAUAUCAUAUGGUAUGAUGCUUUUAAAAUGGCAAUUUUGGUUCUUACAUCUUGUUAGGUACCUUGCUUCUGGAAUCCUAAUUUAGAAAUGUGGUGUCUACCAUCUAUUUUUUUGUCCCACCAUAGUUUAGAACAUUGUUUUUUCUUAUUGUUUCACCUUGUGAUUACACUGAUGCAUAGUAUAACUUCAGCCUUGUUCAAUGGGUUUUGCAACUGGUGGAAAGACUUUCUUUUUGUGGGGAGGCUGCAUGAUGGUAAUAUUUUCAUCUUAGCUUUCUAUUACUCCUGUAUGGAAAUGUGAACCAAUUUUCAGCUCUUGUAAUUCUUAUCUUGUUUUAUCUUUUAGAUGCAUGCCAAAGAUUUUAGAAAGGACUCGUAUGGUGUUGUUAGUGGACUUCGAGAUGGGGGAUACUCAGAUGAUAUGACCUUAGCCGCAAUAGCUGGUAAUAGUUGGGUCUCUUUAUGCACAGAAUCUAAAGUUUACCCCUUCACAUUUUUUUCAGUACUUAAACGUUCAUAUGCACCCUUAGCAAAUUUUUGGUUUCACUGCUGAUUUUCUUGUUCGAAAGGGUGAAGUAGAUAUCUGUUAGCCGAGUCAAUGUCUAGUGUGGACUAGUAAUUCCAUAAUAAUGCUCAUCUCAGUCCAGUUAAUUCAGAAGAACGAGAAAUUCAACAUUUUCUUUUGCUUAUCCAAUUAUGAAUGUACAAGAUGAAUUGCUGACCUUGAAAGAUUGAGUAGUGCAUCCAUGUUCCUGCAAAAUUCUAAAAUUUGCAUGUAUACCCUUUCUUAUUUUGCUUUCAUUUCUCUCCUAAUGUGAAUUUGGCUAGGUUAAUAGCUAAGCCUGUCAGUUAAGUUUUUUUUCCUCAAUUAUGUACAACUUGUUGAAACUUCAAGGCAAAUAUCUGAAAUUUUGUGCAUACAUGUACUUUUCAUUUUUCAUGUGUGAAUUAAGUAAUUGAGCACUUCUUUGAGAUUAUAUAUGCCAAAGUCCUUUAAGGGAUGUAAUGGUUAAAAUAAUAUGGUUAUCAUUUGGACAUAUAUGCAAAUUUUAAAUUUUGGAGGGCCAUAUAUUCAAGUUUCAUGUUUUUAGGAAAAUAUAUGUGAACUUUCACCCUUUAGGGGGACAUAAGCAAUUAUGCACUUCUGAAAGGUAUACAUGCAAAAAAACCCCCAAAAAUAAUUCUAGGUUCUUGAUGUAAUAUUAAAAUUAUGAGUUGAAAUACAACCACAAAUAAAAUAAGAAUGGUCUGAAAUCUUGGUUUCAAUUCUAUUUUCUGUUGGGCCCAUCAAGUAUCUGCUAUCAACUUCGACAGGUUUGGUUCAAGUUUUGGAGCUUAGCCAGCUAACUUAGAAAAGAAAAAGAAAAAGAAUCAUGAACAUACAAGGCAAAUGUAAAAUUAGUCAAGAAGUAUAUAUCACACAACUUUGCACUGUAUUUGUUUAGUUUGGAAUCUUUGGAUUGAUAGUUUUGGUGCUCUAGGAUUUUAUACUAAAACUAUAAACAAUUAUAAAAAAUUUAGAAACCAUUGAGAAUGUUAAGGAAUCAUAUUAUGAUGAAUUUGAAAUAUAACAUAUCAUCCGGCUUUUGAUAAUAAUCCAAUUGUUUAAUACCUAAAACGAUCGCCUAUGCGUGUACAAACACAAGCAUAGGAUGCCAAGGAUUUGCACGCCUAUGUUUUAUACAUAGCUGGUUCGAAGCUCAGAUAAAGGAGGGUUAAGGUAGGUUGACGGCCGGUGUAAAGCCAUAAACUAUAACCAGAAGAAAGUAGUAGAUUUUAUACAUGUAGAAGGAAAGAGGGAUGAAGUAGUGAGGAAGAACUUUUUAUCUCAUCAUCUCUUAAAAAGCAUGGAGCUAAACCGAGUGGAAUGGGGAAAAGGAUUCAUGUAAGCGAGCCCAACUAGUUUAGGAUUAAGGCUCAGUUGAGUUGUAUUAUGUACCAAGUACCAACAUAUAAAGAUUUGUCUACGGAUGCUAAUUGCCUGACCAAGCAGGUUGAUCUCCUCAUACUUGUUAGUUGAUCUUCUAAGAUUCAUGACAAACCCUUCUACUAAAGAUGGCUUGGAAUUUGACCAAAAAUUAGAUGCUUGCAAUUAGGCUUGAGAGCUAGUCUCUCAAAGUUUAAGAAGCACUCUUUGGUUAUUAAAUCCAAAUCUGUAUUAGAUGGGAUAAAGCUUAUUAUUGGUACGGUUAAGGUUAUUCACUGAUGGUAAGUGGUAAAAGAAUCAAGUUAUAAUCAAUAAAAUACAUAUUUAUGGAUUUCAUUUGCAUCCAUGUCUUUUCAAUGAACUUAGAUUUAUGCCGUUAUGUAAAGCAUUUAUCUAUUUAUGUAGAAGUUUUGGGUUGUCACUCCGAAAGAACAGAAGGUUCUGGGAAGAAGUAUAAACCAUGGAGUUUAACACUAUAAGCUCUAUUCAAAAGAAAAAAAAUCCCUACUAUAAGCAGAUGAAUUUUGCAUCAGGGUUUGGUAGUAUGCCAUUGCUAAAAUUACAUCAAGGUGGAAUCAGAAGAUCUGCAUAUAAAAUAUGCCUUCUUUAGGAUUAAUAUUAAUCCUCCCAAGAAUGAGAUCUUGUGUAACAAACAGACAUUCUAAGAAUUAAUUUGUUCCGUCUGAAAACCAUAUUGGAACUUAUGCUAAUUUUAUACCUUUUUCUUCUUACUUUCAGAUGUUGACCAAUAAUUUUGCCCAAAACUUAACCAUGCUGUUUGGUCAAGGAUAUAAUUAAUGUAAAUAUGGAGAGGGGUUGCAAAUAAUCCUGAAUUUUCUGAACUAAUUUAACCCAUUUAUUUGCAGGGCAACAUAAGAGGCUUAUUAGUUCACCUCCAGUUGCUGUCUUUCCCCAUCCCCUUGCAAGUGAUCUUAGCUUUCCAAGGCGUGUAAUUUUUUCUCUCAAAAUUUCCCAUAACAAAUAUGCUAUUAUCUUAUAAUAAUUUAUCAUUCUUUUGCAGAUACUGGAAUUAUCUAAGGAAACAAACAUUUGUUCUGGAAUCCUACAUAUCUAAGGUUAACUGGCUGAUGAACCGUGCACUGUUUUCUUCACACUGCUAUUUAUCCUGGGCUUUUGUUUUUCCAUACUUUAUGGCAAUGAUACAUCUUGCAACAGCUUUAAGAGCACCAUAUAGUGAUUCUCUUUUGAAGGAAACAUCAUCCUCAUCUUGUGGUGAGCAUGCUACUUACUCUUUUUNNNNNNNNNNNNNNNNNNNNNNNNNNNNNNNNNNNNNNNNNNNNNNNNNNNNNNNNNNNNNNNNNNNNNNNNNNNNNNNNNNNNNNNNNNNNNNNNNNNNNNCAUCUGUUUCAUACUUCACAUGGGAUGGAAUGUUAGCUGAAAAUAGGUAAUUUCAAGAAUAAGCAGAAAUUAUCAAAUUGAUCAUUGGAAGUUUGACAUUGUGAUGUUUUUGAAAGGAUUAGAUGUUUAUUAUUUAAUUGUUUCUUGUUCAUCUCCUCCAGCUCCUUUAGAGGAUAAUCCCACUUCUAACUCAUAUUGAUCAAAUAAAUUGAUAGAGGCAGAUUAUAAUAGUUGCCUGUAACAUUCAUUCUCCAAAAAAAAGUGAUAACGCUCUUUUAAUUUUCUGGCCUUGAUUCAGUAAAGUUAAUCAGUUCUUACAGGAUGUUAAUUGCUUCAUUCAGGUCUUACACUGGCUGGCUGCUUGUUUAUAUGCACUAUUCUCGAACUUGCUUCAAUGUGGAACUUGACAAAAGUGGAGAUCUAUUUGUGCAACUUGUUAUCUCCAGAGGGGCCAAGGGUCUCACUUGGUUCAUAUAACUGGGGACUUGUAAGCAUCUCCUGUGCUUCUUGAGUUGUUGGGAACGGAUAAUAUUUCUCUUCAUUUUAAGUGCAGCAUAGAGAUAAUUAGAUUUAUGGAAACCAGUAUAUUUUGCUCACCUUAAUUUAUUGGAAUUUGCCUGUAUGUAUCUAAUUCAUGUUGACUUGAAUAUUUUGUGAGCAGGUAUUUAUUGCUAUGCUGGUAGACAACUUUUUAUACCCCAUCUCAGCAAUGAGAUCACAUCUUACACAGUCGAUAGACUGGUCUGGUAUUCGGUACCACUUGAAAAAUGGAAAGAUAAGCAAGGUAUGCGAUUCAAUUUCACCAAGGUUUUGCUUUUGGAUAUGAAUCCCAGCUAGAAAAUCUGUUAAUAGUUUUACCAUCAUCUAUUGUCAUAUGUUCUGCAACUUGACAUAUCUGACUUCAUGACGUUGACAUGGGUCAUUCGGAGGAAAAAAUACUUUAAAUUAUGUAAAAAUAGGACCACUUUCACCUAAUAUUACGUAGAAUUUUGUGUUAUUAAAAACUAAAUUUUGGAAAGAACUAGUUGAAGCUGUCAUGAACCAAUUUUUUGCUAGCUGAAUAGCUACACUAAUUCACACUACUUUCUUAUGGCUCCUUCGGCUAUCAACAAAAUUGUGACAGAAAAGAUGUUUGUAUCCUUCUCAAAAUCUGUCCAUCUUGUCUUUUAUUCUCAAGAGAUAAUUUUCAAGAUUGUAUUGACUAUAGGUUAGUAGCCAAAAUAUAAAAUUGUAAUGACUGGUUUUAUUGAAAAACAUGUAAAAGUUUCCACUCACUAAGGCUCUGUGCCACGAAAUCAACAUUUAAUGCUAUCCCUCUUGGCAGAUAUGCAAGAUCAGUCUGUACGACUUAAGGGAUACUUAUAUCCCUUGUUCAUCAGGACAUGGGGAUGUCAAAAUAAUUGUAGUUUGACAUAGUAUAAUGGGGAUAAUUGCUCAACUAAUGGCAGACUUUUUGGCUGGAGAAGGAAAAUUGAGAAGAUGAUAGAGCAAGGUAGUGAUUUAAAAAGUUUGACUAACUAUUAGUGGCUGUUGAGAGAUACUUCCACAUAAUAUUCCAUGCUUUUGAUGGAAUAAGAAUGAUAAUAUUUUCAGCUUUGUUGCUUCCUACAGAGCAUAUGGUCAUUUCAAUAACACUAGCGGCCAUGUGUUCAGGAUGUUACAGAUCGAUAAUUAUAGGCAAACCAGCUAUACAAAGGAGGACGUUCUGAUUAUAUUUAUAUUAUAAUGAAUGAUAUGGUAGGAGCUUCUAAAUAUCUAGCUAAUUUUUACAUUGCAAAAAGAGUUGGUGCGAUAUUUUUUAUAGCCCAUUUGCUUCGAAUUGUUUUGCAAUAUCCUUGAUAUCCUCUACAACAUAAUAAUGUUUAUUCUCUACUCAUAUGCAAAAGAAUAGAAGAACAUAGCAACAAGGAGACUGCAAAUGUGUAAGAUAACCGGAUAUGAAAAUGUUGAGAUAGAUGUGGGAGUGGGACAAAUAAAGAUAGUUAAAUACUAUUUUGGCAAUGGUUAAGGAGAAAGGGAUGUUGAAAUUUAAAGAUUUAUUACCCUGCUAACGGAUAAAAACUAAUAAGAAAUUAUAAUAAAUCUAUGGGGAAGGAAACAACAAUAUACAACAAAAAGUGAGAAUCCUAUUUUAGCUCCUCUGAUGGAAGAACCAUUUGAUUAUUUCGGUAACUUUGGUUUAUAGAAGAAAUGGUUUUAUUUACAAUUCCUAGUCAUUGAUGCAAAGAAGCAGAUUCUAUGACAUGAGGAAUUUACACUCGAGGAAACUAAUAAGUACUUGAGCCAGCAAAGGUGUUAGAAGAAGACUGAGAGAUACUUGAAGAAAGAUAAUGUUCAACAUUGCUUAAUAUUUAGUUUAAUCUCCCUUUAAGAACUUGAGUCUAUUUAGGUGUAAUACAUGCAGGAGUGGGUUCAUGAAUUCGUUGUUGAAGUCCUGUAGUAUUUCAGUUUCUUCACCGUACAAUCAGAAUAGUGGGAUUGUGUGCUUUGGGACUUGAUUAUUUCAUAGAUCCAAUUGUGCAAUUGAAAAUUCAAAACCUAACGAAAUCUAGGACCGGUGGCACUUAAAGCAACAUGGGUAAUCAAAAGUAUUAUCAUUGUGCAAACAGAUAUGCCAUGUAAAUUUCUUAUCAAAUAUAUGCCAUCUUUGUUCACAAAUGUUGGUAGUCUCCUAGUUAAGAUAGACACAACUUCAUUUCAUGUAUUGUUGUGUAAUGUCUUGUAUCCACAGAUAUUCACCAAAGAAGCAUUUGUAAUUUAGGACGCAUGAUAUUUAUUGUAUACCGGUGAAAGAAUAAAAAAUGGUAAAAACAAAGAAGAAUAUUAACUAUCACAUAAAUGUAUUGCUAUCUUAGAAUGCAAAUCAAGAAAACUAAUGAGAUAUUAACAAAAAAUGUCUUUGUUCUUUUAGCAUCAAACUAAUAACAUUAAUUCUCUGUUUCCUUACUGGCUGCCUGAAUGACAGAUGCCUCUAUUUCAGCCUUAAAAUUCUGCCAAAAAUCUGCAUUUGUGCAGAUAAUUUUUGCAAAUCUUUCUUCAUUUUCCUCAUUGCCUUCAGCUACUAAUAGAUUUGUUGGGUUAUUAUUUUUGUUCUUAUGUUGAUUACUCUACAGAUUGAAAGGUCCAAGGAAUAUGGCUCAAAUUUAACUGACCUUGGAGGAAAGUAUCUGUAUGGGAAAAGGUUAUGCCCUCCUAAAGCUUCAUUUCUUAGCUCUUUGUCAAGAAGUCUGGCACAGUGGUGCCAACCAAAGAAGUACGAUAGCUAGAAGCCUUGGCAUGCAGCAGAAAAUCAAGAAGAGAGUGCCCAUUCUUCAUUUUUCUUCCAGCAUUACAUUGUUUUUUUCUUUCUUCAUCCUUUUAGUUUCUAGGAAUCCCAUUCAAUCCAUUGAUUCUUAGUGUUCAGCUGCGUUUGCUGCAUAGAGUUCGUACUGGUAAUCUCCUGUUACAUGACAGAUGUAUACAAGCAAAUUCAUUCAAGACAAUAAGAUGCUCCAUCUUUGGCUCUUUUCUCUUUGUUAUUUAAUCUCCGCCGGUAAAUUAAGUCUUCCAACUGCACUAGCCAGCCAACAGAAACAGCUGAGUUGCUCUCUCUCUCUCUCUCUCUCUCUCUCUCUACUAUAUAUAUAUAUAUAUAUAUANNNNNNNNNNNNNNNNNNNNGUGUCUCUCUCUCUCUCUCUCUCUCUCUCUCUCUAUAUAUAUAUAUAUAUAUAUAUAUGGUGAAGCAGAUGGUUUACAUCUUAUACAUGAGGACUAUAAACACAUCCAGUGGCAUCAGAAUAUAUUCUAUCUCUAAGCUCUUGAGGGUAGUCUGUAGUGGUGGUCCAUAAACAAGAGGAAUGGUGAGCCAGAUAAGAAGCCACUCAAUCAGCAGGCCUAUUCUCCUCUCUGUAGAUGUGAGAUGCUCUAAAUUCAGUCAGUCCUUGGAUCAUGCACCGCACAUCUAGAAGUAGUCGAUGUACUUUUGCUUAGUCUAUAUCACUGUCUUAAUUUGUCUGCCUAUCUCCUUUGCUAUAUAAUGUUGCCGAGCUCUAGAUCAGAUCGUCCCAACUUGUAUGCCUCUUCAAAGCCUUGGAUGGUCUUAGUCCAACGAAUCAAAGCUUAGCCCAAACCUUAACAGAAAAGCUUCAACCCCUUCAUGUUUGCAGGUUCUGCUUCUGAAUGUUGUCUAGGUGCUUAAUUUUCUAAACCACUGCAGGAUUGGCACUGUUGGAGGCAUGUCCCAGGACGUUUACAUGGGUUGGUGCUUAGAUUGUUAGCUUUAAAUACCUGGAAGACUGUCCUACCUUUGAGUGGCUGGGCUUAGGAUUUUCUUCUGGGACUAACCUAUCUACACCCUUCAGAAUUCGAAAAAUGUGUCAUGUAUGCGUAGGGACUGAUCAAACUGUGUUAAGGUUUUUGAGGCUUUCACCACGAACUAGUUCUCCAAAUAGAUCCCUAGGACUUAGAAGGCCGAUUAGGUUAAAUAUUUCUGGUUCUGGUUAUGCAAGUCCUUGUUGCCAACAAAAAGGCUGAAGUAUCCUGAAGGGAAAGGGAUUACCACUUCAUAUUGAUGAAAUAAGAAGCUAAAAUGCAGCCGUCGACAUUUGGCUUCCAUCCCCUGCUGUUUAGAGACCAAACCUGGAAUAAUUCAGUUCAGGGCGUUAUUCCUGUUAUAUGUGCCCUUAUUACAAGAUAAUGGCUAAAAAAUGGGCAUUAUUUGAAAGCCUUGUAUAUAUAUAUAUAUAUAUAUAUGUAUGUAUGUUGCCACUGGGAAUUAGCUCAACCAAGAUGCCGAGCUGACUAGAUUGUUGGAGUGCUCGGCUUGUCUACCAUCCAAGUCGGAAAGGUCGACUAAGGGUCGAAGUGCACCUCUACGAUAGCGGUCCGAUGGCUAUCACGCUCGGGUGGGAAUUGCUUUGGCAUUGCAUAUCUCCAAGGUGGCGAUGGAUAACGGAGGCCUUAUUCUGACUGUUGCUCUUAUGCUGGAUUCAAUCUGAAAUAACAAAGAUAAGAAAAUCCUUCCAUUAGAGCGUGUUUGGUGGGAGAUUUUCUGAUGCCUAAGUCAAACAUGACUCUCAAACAAUAGAGAGAGGCCCGAGAGAGCAAUAGAGUGGUAGCCUAGAGGAGUCAAAAGAGAACUUACUUGGAUAGCCUUUGAGAAUGCAAUAUAUAUAAGCGAGGAUUGAAGCCCGUUGUCGAGCAAUUCGGGUGCAUAUGCUGAUUGUUAUGGCUGCAGCUCACAUUUUUUGCCCAUGAAUUAUGCCCGUGCUUCCCAGCCUUGCAGAUAGUUCACGAUCAUAACCGAGCUGUCACCAAUUAGGGAAGGAGAGUUUGAGAUGCGAAGAACUCUCCGCGCACAUUCUUGGUUGGCCACAUGGUUAGCCUGUGGGGCGAGCCAUUAUUGGUUGGUUUGCCAUAUCAACUGUAAUCAGUUCCAAAAUGUAUUCACACAUAAUAUAACAGAAGUCCUCCAAAACUCUUACAAUGCGUAACAGCCAUUUCUUUAAAAACUUGGGCGAAUGUAGAGGGAGCUAAACAGAGAGUGCAGUAAACAUACAAGGCCACGAUAGGAAGGUCUAACGAGAAACUAAAGAUGCGGAAAUGUUGAAAAGAAUCCGAUGUCUUGUGCUUGCUUAGUUUCCUCUGCCUUCGUAGAACUGAACAGACCUGCAACACGAGCAAUUUGAGAUCGUGCAUUAAUUUACACUCUCAAUAUGCUUGCAACUUAAAGACAGUGCAAGAACAUGGCUGAACCAACCUUACUCGAGACUGGUUUCUGUCACCUAGUUACUAGGACUUGUGGAUCAAGAGAAAUGAAGCCAUGUUCAAGAACAUAAACACCAAGGCUUUCAAGACGAUGUCUAAAAUGGUGCUCCUUACCUUGUUUGAUUUAACAAUAUAGGUAUCCGUUAGCAAUCAGCACAGAUAAUUCCCACAACAUCGCUUCAUUUUUGAGAGCUUGAGAGAUAAUGCAGCAAAUAGGCCUCAGUUGUAUGUAUUUUAGAGAUAUCUUAAGGCAGCAAUAAUAGUAGCUUGUUUUCUUGCUGAUGAUGUGUCCGAGGACGGUCUUCGUUCGUUGACGACUCAUAUUUAAUGCCAAUGUUGCUCGAGGAAACAUCAACCUUAAAGCUGAGAACAAAGCAUAUUCCUGAAUAGUAAAAGACCAAUAUUGAAGAAAAGGUCAACCAGGAGGUCAAAUGCAGAACCCAAGACCUUACAACAUUUGUGAUUUUGAUACCAAGGAGCCCUGCUUAUAUCAGUCACCAAAUAGAAUCCCCCUCAAAUAAAGGGCAAGAAAAAGCAAGCCGCAACGGCUGUGGUGGCAUACCAAGAAAUAAUACUACCAUCAAGAAAGAAAGAAAGCAAAGUAGGAAAACAGCACAAAGAACAUUAUAAGCAUCCAUCAAGCAAACCGUCCAAUGUCAAAUUCUAAUCAGAAGAAACCAAUUAAGUCAGAAAAGACAAUAACAAAACCAAUAUGAGGACCAUUGAGGUAUGACAAACCCCUGAGACAGUACACUGAAGGCAGCAAAUGGCUUCAGAACUUAUUAAAAACAUCUAAAGCAUCAGAGGGGAAAGAUAACCCGAGUCCCAGGAAAAUAUAGUCUCAUCUCCCUCUCAAAACUCGUCAACAAAAAAACGAUAGGUCGUUCCAGUAAAAGAGCAAGCUUAAUACUUGUAGUCCUUCACAUGGAGACUCUCAGAGACAACUGCGCCGCCAGCAGCAUCUCCCUUGUAUUUCCCGAGUGUUGCCUCUGAGUUCGCCUUGCACCUUGACAGAAAAGCAGCCCUCGCCUUCUCAACAUUCUGCUCCUUCCCAGCCCAAGCCUUGAGCGUGCUUUGCUGCAGAGCACGGCCAAAUGAGAAUGAAAGCGACCAAGGCUUCUUCCCCUCCAGCUUGUUCAUGGCAUUCAGGUUCAAGGUCGCUUCCUCCUCGCUCUGGCCGCCUGAGAGGAAGACAAUAGCAGGCACAGCAGCUGGGACUGUCCUUUGGAGAGCCCGCACAGUGUGCUCAGCCACCACCUCAGGUGCCACCUUUGCUGAAUCUGAUCCUGGGGUUACCAUGUUUGGCUUCAGGAGAGUCCCUUCCAGGAGAACAUGGUGGUCGUUAAGUGCCUUGUAGCAAGCAGCAAGCACCCUCUCCGUGACAUCGGCACAACGGUUGAUGUCGUGUGGCCCAUCAACAAGGAUCUCAGGCUCUACAAUUGGUACCAGACCGUUCUCCUGGCAGAUAAUAGCAUAGCGGGCCAACCCAUCAGCAUUUAGAUCAAUUGCUAGCUGAGAUGGCUCAGUUGGACCAAUCUUGAGGACGGCACGCCACUUGGCAAAGCGCGCCCCUGCCUCAUAGUACUUCUGGCAGCGCUUGCCGAGGUCAUCAUGGCCCUGGGUGGUGGUUUCACCAUUAGUGCCAGCAAGUUCGAUGGUGCCCUUGUCCACCUUGAUACCAGGAAGGACUCCACCCUCAUUCAAGACUUCGACAAAAGGCUUCCCAUCUUUAGUCUUCUGGUAUAGGGUCUCCUCAAAGAGGAUGACCCCACUAAGGUAUUGGAGAGCACCGGGGGCACAGAAGAGGAGCUCGCGGAGGGCCUGGCGGUUCGCCUCGACAUUCUCAACAUUGAUGCUGGCUAGGCGCUUGCCAAUCGUGCCAGUGGACUCAUCGGCUGCAAGGAUCCCCUUGCCCGGGGUGCCGAUGUAGGCAGCAUUCUUAAUGAGCUCAUCUGCAAAAAGAUGGAAGUCAGAAGUCUAUCCCUAGUACCAACGAAAUUCUAGGCUCAUAACAUACAACAGUAUGCUGACAGAAACGUAUGAUGAAGUAAAUCUCAAAUCGAGCAUAGAGCAUUUAGAAAAAUUUAGGAAGCAGAUGAGAAAGAUUGCUGUAACAACAUGCAAGAUUAAAGAAUAAAAUACAGAAUGUGGCGGACAACAAUAAAAAUCUUAAAACCAGCCAAGCAUUCCAAAAGAGUGAGUCAUUCUAACAUAUGAUAUACCUGUCCCCCAUCCAUAAUUAGAUGACGAGUUAAAUCCAAGGCCAUUGCACAAUAAUAAUGAAAGGCCAAGCAACCAAAGAGAUGGCUUAUAGACUCUCUCUUAAGGUUUUCCAUAUAUUCAAAUUUAAAAGAAAUCCAGACACUAUAAACUUGAUCUCAUCCUACACACUCAAAUAUUAUGGAAAAUAUCAAGGCAGGCACGUCAUAUGGCCCUCCCUAGGCAGAUAUCCUCUAAAAUAAUGCCUACGCAUAAAGAAAGCUUGUUACAAGGGACAUGCCAAUCUUAUAGAGUCUACACUCUCAUGAACUGAAAGAUGUGUUUUCUUCAUCUAUGGUCACACAAAUCAAAUCUGCUUAGGCAGCGUUAACAACAGAUAAGCUGCCCAGCUGCCCAUAAGGAGGGAUGAUAACACAAAUCAUUAGAUUCUCAAUGUAAAUCAAUGAUAGUGG
rnacentral:lncRNA from 1 species